CCGAGCUUGAGGUUCUUGGAGAAAGCCUCAUAGAACUUGUUGUAGUCCUCCUUGUUCUCAGCAAUCUCAAAGAAGAGCUCGAUGCACUUCUUCACAAGGUUCUUCCUGAUGACCUUGAGGAUCUUGUUCUGCUGGAGUGUCUCACGAGAGAUGUUGAGGGGAAGAUCCUCAGAGUCAACAAUGCCCUUGACAAAGCUCAGCCACUCUGGGAUCAGCUCCUCACAGUUGUCCAUGAUGAAGACACGGCGCACAUAGAGCUUAAUGUUGUUGAGCUUCUUCCUGGUGUCAAAGAGGUCAAAGGGGGCCCUCUUGGGAACGAAGAGGACGGCCUUGAACUCAAGCUGACCCUCCACCGAGAAGUGCUUGACGGCAAGGUGCUCCUCCCAGUCGUUUGUCAGGCUCUUGUAGAAGGCAGCAUACUCAUCCUUGGUGAUCUCCUCAGGCUUCCUCAUCCAGAUGGGCUUCUGCUUGUUGAUCAGGUUCCACUCGUGAGAAACCUCCUUGAUCUUCUUCUUUUUCUUCUCCUUUUCUUCCUUCUCUUCAUCAAUUUCCUCAACCUUGCCCUCCUCAGUAUCCUUCUUCUCAUCCUCAUCUUCAUCGUCAGAAAUUUCCUUCUCAGUGGUCUUCUCCGUCCAGAGAGAGAUGGGAUAGCUGAUGAACUCAGAGUGCUUCUUCACCAGAUCCUUGAGGCGACGCUCCUCAAGGUACUCCAACUGCAGAACAAUAGUUAAAUUGUCAGGGACAAGUCACAUGCCUCAGUUAAAAAUACCCAUUAGCAUCAAUGCAAGGUGCUACAUCCCAAAAACAUAGCACUAUGAUUUUGAAUGUCCCAAAGUAAAAAUAGCACAUGAGUUGAGGUCGGCCCAAAUGGCCUAAGCCACUUGGCACAAAUGCAGUACUAACAAAAACAGUAGUAGUAGAAACUAGCUAGCAUCAACAAUCUAGGAUGGCACUAAUUAUACUGGUCCAAUUUCAUGCAAUGACAACAGUGAUGGCUCAUUUUAAGGGAUUCAUGCCAGCAAUUAUACUUACUGAAUCUAGAACAACGGUAAACAAUCAAAUUCAACUGCAACAGACAUAUAUGAUCACAACAAAGCCAUAGUAACAAUUAUACUAACUGAAUCUAUAAGAAGGGUAAACAAUUAAACUCAACAACAGACAUGCCAAAAACAUAGCACUAUGAUCAGUAUACAACUCAAAGUUUCACCAGCAAAUGAAUUACCCUACAGAACCCUCCCAAUACUGUGCAUCAUUAAUCAACAAGAACAGGUACGCCCUUCCAUUACAACCCCAGAGCAUAGAAACAAAAGUAAGACAUGAACAGCAUUUCAAUCUAACAGUACAUUCACAGAAACAUGGGAAGUUUGAACAAAAGUAACAUGAACAGCAUUUCAAUCUAACAGUACCCUACCAAGUGCACCCAGAACAUAUUAAAAUGUGAACAGAACGGGUAGCAUGAGAAAGUAAAUAAUGGGAAGACUUUUGAGUUUUGUACCUGAUCAUCCUUGAGGUAGAGGGUGAUCUUAGUACCCCUUCCAAGGGGCUCUCCAGUAGUAUCACGUGUCACAGUGAAGGAACCACCAGCCUGGGACUCCCACACAUACUGCUCGUCAUCGUUGUGCUUGCUGGUCACAACGACUCUCUCAGCAACGAGGUAAGCAGAGUAGAAACCGACACCAAACUGACCAAUCAUGGACACAUCAGCACCAGCAGUCAGUGCCUCCAUGAAAUCCUUGGUGCCAGACCUUGCAAUGGUACCAAGGUUGUUCACAAGGUCUGACUUGGUCAUACCAAUACCACUGUCAAUAAGCGUGAGUGUGUUCGUGGCCUUGUCAGGGAUUAUGUGGAUGAACAGCUCUGGCUGAGCAUCCAGCUUGCUCUUGUCAGUCAGGCUCUCAAACCUGAUCUUAUCCAACGCCUGCACAACAAAGCACCCAAAUACACAAUGUAGUGUGAGUCUCACAGAUUAAACUAGUAAAUAAUGCAAACAUAAAUCAAAGUUUUGACUAAUAAUGCAUUACAGUAGAAUCAGCCUGUAUUUUUUAUUUAACAUAGAUGUAGAUUACAUACGCAAUAACCUACCAACCAUCCAAAUCUAGUUUGAAUCAGAAAAGCUAUGCUACAACCAUGCAAAGCUACUUAGGAAUUCGAAUUUAAACACAGAUCCAACAAAAUUAGCACACAGGCAAUCUAGUCAUGGGAUUGUUUUACAUUUUAUAAAGCCUGUCCGCCUAUAGGAAAAUUUAUAAUUCAAGUGAGCGUUUCCUAAGCCUUUAUAACAGUCCAAUAAUCUCUAACCAUGAAGAUCUGCACGUGCGACUGUACAGAGAAUAAACAAACAUAUAUUCCAGUGAGCGUUUCCUAAGCUUUUAGGACAGUACAAUUAGCUCAAUCAUGUAGAUCUGCACGUGCGACAGUACAUACAGAGAACAAACAAAUGCACAUCUACGUUAUACUACUCACUAGCACAUACAUGGAAACUUACGAUGCAAGUAAUGAUGUUUCCUAAGCUUUUAUAACAGUCAAUUAGCUCUAAUCAUGGAGACUCGCACGUGCAACAGGACAGAGAACAAACAAAUGUGUAGCCACGUCCUACUCACAGACAACAGAACAUCGCACAAACCGCAGGUUCGUCGAUGGAUUUGAAAUCCGAUGCACUAACCGGCGCGAACCGACAGACGCACCCGACCUACUGAACAUCGGUACGGCAAAGGGCCCUAUCGCGCACGGAUCUAAACAGAGCCGCGAAUCACAGCAUUACAGGGGAGCGGCGGAGCGCGGGGGAGGGAGCUUACAUCCGAGGCGUUGGAGAUGAGCUCGCGGAGGAAGAUCUCCUUGUUGGAGUAGAAGGUGUUGAUGAUGAGCGAGAGCAGCUGGUUGAUCUCGGCCUGGAAGGCGAAGGUCUCGGUCUCCGAAGCCAUGGCGCCGCCGGCACCGGAAGCUCCUGGAACGCGCGCGCUGGGGUUGGGAGGAGAGGAGAUGGCUUAGGGUUAGGGCUCUGGAGCAGGGGUUCUCGGGUUCUGGGACGCAAGGUUGGAGGGGACGGGCGCCGGGGCCAGGGUUAUAUAGUCGGAAGAGGGGUUCUCGAACGUUCUGCCAGGUGCGGGAAGGGGAGACGACGGGGGGUUGGGGGGACGACGGGUCGUUGGGCCCGGCGACUUGGGAUGGUGUGGCCCGCAUGUCAGUUGGCUGGGCUUAGGCGCCUUGCGGUUUUGUUUUUUUUAUUGUGCUCCUACUAUAGUACUCUGGAACGUUCCGGAGAUCGGAGGGACCGAGGGAGUGAGUUUAAUAAAGGACCCCAGAGACUCUAAAAAAAGGACUCCGUAAUUGGAACUCAUUUUCCUUUUGCGGUUCCAUAUUUAGCACGCCGAGCCAUGCCAAUUGCCAAUACCAUAUGGCUGCUAACACACCGUAAAUAAAUAUACAGUAAGAUUUUCUACGUGUUUUCUCAUGGUGUUGGUUUAGUGUUUGUUUUCCUGUUCGUCUGAGUAAAACUGAUUAUUUGUUCUGCGAUCAGAUAAAUUCAUUCAUGCUUUUAAUAAUUUUGAAUAUAAAAAAGUGCAAAGAGGUCCAGAGGUUAAAAAAAACUCAAAUAAUAAGUGUCACACUCACACGCGUGACACGAAGCACUCCGGUCCUAACGAUUUUUACAACUAAAGUUGUCGUCCGAAAAAAAAAACUGAAAUUCGCCAUCCGAAAAGAAUUUUGUUAUUCUCAUGUCCUCAAAUUUGCCAAAGAAAAUAUUCAGAAUUGCCAUGUGUUCAUGCCACAGUGACACUUAUCAAGGUCUUAAAAAUAAAGCUAAGACUUUCACCGAGGACAUGCGGAAACAUAUUUCUUUUUUCUUGAAACAAAGGCAUAAGAUUUGCCUCAUCAAUUAAAUAAAAAGAGAACAAAGUUUAGAGUUUUACAACACCCACAAAUACGACAUAGCAAUUACUCGCCCAUACAAAUAUCUCCUAAUUUUUUUGUGCCCGCGGUCACCCAAAGCUUGGCCUCGUGGACAAUGGCAGUGAGAAGAAUGGUCGUUGGCGCACUCUUAUGACGAAACACCCGUGCAUUUCUUUCAUUCCAAAUGGUCCAGGAGACAAGUAUGGUGAGAGAGGCCAAAGCUUGCCGGUUGGGGUUGCGAUUGUCGGUUCUCUUGUCCCAUCAUUCGUAGACAGAUUCAUACAUGUGCCACUCGGAUGUAUCUAUGUGCGCGAGACCAAGCCUCUCAAUGAGAGACUUCCAUAUCCGAAUUGUAAAGCGGCACUUGAAGAAAAUGUGGGCACCUGUUUCUUGCUCCCUGUUGCAAAGUUUGCAGAGGCAACAAUUUGGCCAACCUCGUUGCUGUAAACGAUCGGCAAUCCAAAUCCUAUCUUGUAUUGCCAACCAUGCAAAAAAAUUAACCUUUGAAGGUGCCCAUGCCUUCCAAGCCAUACGGUCCAAGGGGGAAAGAGUCAAGCCUAGGAAUUGAGCCUUGUACGCAGUGGCCGCCGUGUAUAUCCCGUCGUUCGCGUGCUUCUAGAUGAUGGUAUCUUCAGUUUGCUCAUGAAGGUGGACAUCAUUCAGGAGCAUCCAAAAAGUGAAAAAUUCCCGAAUGUGGGCUACGGUUACAACCGCGACUUGGUUGAUCUUGAGUAUCCAAGCGUUCCCCUUGAGGGCCUCACGGACCUUCCAACUCUUUCGUUUCGAGGCCUCAAAGAUGAGGGGUGCAAUAUCCUUAGGUUUGUGACCAAGGAGCCACGGGGAAUCCCAAAAAGGCGUUUUGGCACCAUCUCCCACCAUGAUAGUCGUAGAAGCAUAGAAAAACUCGAAGUCCUUGACGGUGCAGGGGUUUCUCAGGCCAACCCAUAAUUUGCGGGGCUCGUUCCAUUCAUACCACAACCAUCAAAGUCGCAAAAGCACGUGCGAAUUUGUCGGUGUUGAGCACCCCCAGGCCACCGUAUUCUUUUGGUCUACAAACCACCUUCCAGUUGACCUUGCAUUUGGCUCCCGUUGUCUUGUCCGCACCGGACCAAAGAAAAGCCCUCUCAAUUUUGUUAAGGCUAUCGAGGCAGCCCUGAGGCACAACGAGGGGCGUGAUGGAGAACACCGCUUGGGAGGAGAUGACCGACCUAACAAGAGUCGUACGACCGAUGGUAGUAAUGUUUUGGCCCUCUCAGGAAACCAAUUUUCCGGUCGCCUUAUCCUCAAGGUAUUGGAAAUCCAUCUUCUUAAGUUGCCAAACUGAAAGUGGGAGGCCUAGGUAUUUGAUCAGAAAAGUGGCCCGUUGUCGGUGUCAAAACCGGCGGAUCUCGGGUAGGGGGUCCCGAACUGUGCGUUUAGGCGGAUGGUAACAGGAGGCAGGGGACACGAUGUUUUACCCAGAUUCAAGCCCUCUUGAUGGAGGUAAAACCCUACGUCCUGCUUGAUUAAUAUUGAUGAUAUGGGUAGUACAAGAGUAGAUCUACCACGAGAUCAGAGAGGCUAAACCCUAGAAGCUAGCCUAUGGUAUGAUUGUUGUUCGUCCUACGGACUAAAACCCUCUGGUUUAUAGACACCGGAGAGGGCUAGGGUUACACAGAGUCGGAUACAAUGGUAGGAGAUCUACAUAUCCGUAUCGCCAAGCUUGCCUUCCACGCCAAGGAAAGUCCCUUCCGGACACGGGACGAAGUCUUCGAUCUUGUAUCUUCAUAGUCCAGGAGUCCGGCCGAAGGUAUAGUCCGGCUAUCCGGACACCCCCUAAUCCAUGACUCCCUCAGUAGCCCCUGAACCAGGCUUCAAUGACGACGAGUCCGGCGCGCAGAUUGUCUUCGGCAUUGCAAGGCGGGUUCCUCCUCCAAGUACUUCGUAGAAGAUUUUAAACACAAAGGUAGUGUCCGGCUCUGCAAAAUAAGUUUCCACAUAUUGCCAUAGAGAGAAUAAUAUUUACACAAAUCUAAUCUGCUGACGUAUUCCGUAGCAUGACAUCACACCACGGUAAAGUCUUUAUUUACUGUUCUACCUCAGCGCGUUUAGCGAGGCGGUUUCCUUGGCACGUCUUGUCAAAGCAGAGGUCGUGUCCCCUUAUUCCGGGAUUCUCAUCAAUACGGGCGUGGGUAACCCAACCGCGCCAUUGAUUAUGAUGCUUGGGAGAUAAGCGAGGUUUACCAGGCUGGUGGGGACGCAUAGUCGCGCCCACCCAUAUAAGUGAAGGAAAUAUGCCAUAGAGGCAAUAAUAAAGUUAUUAUUUAUUUCCUUAUUUCAUGAUAAAUGUUUAUUAUUCAUGCUAGAAUUGUAUUAACCGGAAACAUAAUACAUGUGUGAAUACAUAGACAAACAGAGUGUCACUAGUAUGCCUCUACUUGACUAGCUCGUUAAUCAAAGAUGGUUAUGUUUCCUAACCAUGGACAAAGAGUUGUUAUUUGAUUAACGGGAUCACAUCAUUAGUUGAAUGAUCUGAUUGACAUGACCCAUUCCAUUAGCUUAGCACCCGAUCGUUUAGUAUGUUGCUAUUGCUUUCUUCAUGACUUAUACAUGUUCCUAUGACUAUGAGAUUAUGCAACUCCCGUUUGCCGGAGGAACACUUUGUGUGCUACCAAACGUCACAACGUAACUGGGUGAUUAUAAAGGAGCUCUACAGGUGUCUCCAAAGGUACAUGUUGGGUUGGCGUAUUUUGAGAUUAGGAUUUGUCACUCCGAUUGUCGGAGAGGUAUCUCUGGGCCCUCUCGGUAAUGCACAUCACUGAAGCCUUGCAAGCAUUGCAACUAAUAAGUUAGUUGCGGGAUGAUGUAUUACGAAACGAGUAAAGAGACUUGCCGGUAACGAGAUUGAACUAGGUAUUGGAUACCGACGAUCGAAUCUCGGGCAAGUAACAUACCGAUGACAAAGGGAACAACGUAUGUUAUUAUGCGGUCUGACCGAUAAAAGAUCUUCGUAGAAUAUGUAGGAGCCAAUAUGAGCAUCCAGGUUCCGCUAUUGGUUAUUGACCGGAGAUGUGUCUCGGUCAUGUCUACAUUGUUCUCGAACCCGUAGGGUCCGCACGAUUAAGGUUACGAUGACAGUUAUAUUAUGAGUUUAUGUAUUUUGAUGUACCGAAGUUUUUUCGGAGUCCCGGAUGUGAUCACGGACAUGACGAGGAGUCUCGAAAUGGUCGAGACAUAAAUAUUGAUAUAUUGGAAGCCUAUAUUUGGAUAUCGGAAGCGUUCCGGGUGAAAUCAGGAUUUUACCAGAUUACCGGGAGGUUACCGGAACCCCCCGGGAGGUAUAUGGGCCUUAGUGGGCCUUAGUGGAAGAGAGGAGAGGUGUCCAGAGAUGGGCCGUGCGCCCCUCCCCCCCUUUGGUCCGAAUAGGACAAGGAGAGGGGGCCGGCCCCCCUUCCUCCUCUCUCUCCUCUUUUCCCCCCUCCGCGAAUCCUAUUCCAACUAGGAAAGGGGGGAGUCCUACUCCCGAAGGAGUAGGACUCCUCCUGGCGCGCCACCUCUUGGCCGGCCAGCCCCCCCCCCCUUGAGCCUUUAUAUACGGNNNNNNNNNNNNNNNNNNNNNNNNNNNNNNNNNNNNNNNNNNNNNNNNNNNNNNNNNNNNNNNNNNNNNNNNNNNNNNNNNNNNNNNNNNNNNNNNNNNNNNNNNNNNNNNNNNNNNNNNNNNNNNNNNNNNNAUUCUUAGCCGUGUGCGGUGCCCCCUUCCACCAUAGUCCUCGAUAAUAUUGUAGCGGCGCUUAGGCGAAGCCCUGCGACGGUAGUACAUCAAGAUCGUCACCACGCCUUCGUGCUGAUGGAACUCUUCCCCGACACUUUGCUGGAUCGGAGUCCGGGGAUCGUCAUCGAGCUGAACGUGUGCUAGAACUCGGAGGUGCCGUAGUUUCGGUGCUUGAUCGGUCGGGCCGUGGAGACGUAUGACUACAUCAACCAAGUUAACGCUUUCGUUGUCGAUCUACAAGGGUACGUAGAUCACACUCUCCCCCCUCUCGUUGCUAUGCAUCACCAUGAUCUUGCGUGUGCGUAGGAAAAUUUUGAAAUUACUACGAAACCCAACAGUGGCAUCCGAGCCUAGGUUUUAUAUGUUGAUGUUAUAUGCACGAGUAGAACACAAGUGAGUUGUGGGCCAUAUAAGUCAUACUGCUUACCAGCAUGUCAUACUUUGGUUCGGCGGUAUGGUUGGACGAAGCGGCCCGGACCGACAUUACGCGUACGCUUACGCGAGACCGGUUCUCCCGACGUGCUUUGCACAAAGGUGGCUAGCGGGUGACAGUUUCUCCAACUUUAGUUGAACCGAGUGUGGCUACGCCCGGUCCUUGCAAAGGUUAAAAUAGCACCAACUUGACAAACUAUCGUUGUGGUUUUGAUGCGUAGGUAAGAUUGGUUCUUGCUUAAAGCCCAUAGCAGCCACGUAAAACUUGCAACAACAUAGUAGAGGACGUCUAACUUGUUUUUGCAGGGCAUGUUGUGAUGUGAUAUGGUCAAGACAUGAUGCUAAAUUUUAUUGUAUGAGAUGAUCAUGUUUUGUAACCGAGUUAUCGGCAACUGGCAGGAGCCAUAUGAUUGUUGCUUUAUUGUAUGCAAUGCAAUCGCGCUGUAAUGCUUUACUUUAUCACUAAGCGGUAACGAUAGUCGUGGAAGCAUAAGAUUGGCGAGACGACAACGAUGCUACGAUGGAGAUCAAGGUGUCGCGCCGGUGACAAUGGUGAUCACGAGGGUGCUUCGAAGAUGGAGAUCACAAGCACAAGAUGAUGAUGGCCAUAUCAUAUCACUUAUAUUGAUUGCAUGUGAUGUUUAUCUUUUAUGCAUCUUAUCUUGCUUUGAUUGACGGUAGCGUUAUAAGAUGAUCUCUCACUAAUUAUCAAGAAGUGUUCUCCCAGAGUAUGCACCGUUGUGAAAGUUCUUCGUGCUGAGGCACCACGUGAUGAUUGGGUGUGAUAGGCUCUACGUUCAAAUACAACGGGUGCAAAACAGUUGCACAUGCGGAAUACUCAGGUUAUACUUGACGAGCCAAGCAUAUACAGAUAUGGCCUUGGAACACGGAGACCGAAAGGUCGAGCGUGAAUCAUAUAGUAGAUAUGAUCAACAUAGUGAUGUUCACCAAUGAAACUACUCCAUCUCACGUGAUGAUCGGACAUGGUUUAGUUGAUUUGGAUCACGUGAUCACUUAGAGGAUUAGAGGGAUGUCUAUCUAAGUGGGAGUUCUUAAGUAAUAUGAUUAAAUUGAACUUAAAUUUAUCAUGAACUUAGUCCCGGUAGUAUUUUGCAAAUCAUGUUGUAGAUCAAUAGCUCGCGUUGUUGCUUCUCUGUGUUUAUUUUGAUAUGUUCCUAGAGAAAAUUGUGUUGAAAAAUGUUAGUAGCAAAAAUGCGGAUUGGACCUGUGAUCUGAGGUUUAUCCUCAUUGCUGCACAGAAGAAUUAUGUCCUUAAUGCACCGCUAGGUGACGGACCUAUUGCAGGAGCAGAUGCAGAUGUUAUGAACGUUUGGCUAGCUCAAUAUGAUGACUACUUGAUAGUUUAGUGCAUCAUGCUUAACGGCUUAGAAUCGGGACUUCAAAGACGUUUUUGAACGUCAUGGACCAUAUGAGAUGUUCCAGGAGUUGAAGUUAAUAUUUCAAGCAAAUACCCGAGUUGAGAGAUAAGAAGUCUCCAACAAGUUCUAUAGCUAAAAGAUGGAGGAGAAUCGCUCAACUAGUGAGCAUGUGCUCAGAUUGUCUGGGUACUACAAUCGCUUGAAUCAAGUGGGAGUUAAUCUUCCAGAUAAAAUAGUAAUCGACAGAAUUCUCUAGUCACCGUCACCAAGUUAGUAGAACUUCAUGAUGAACUAUAUUAUGCAAGGGAUGACGAAAAUGACUCCCAAGCUUUUCAUGAUGAUGAAAUCAAUGAAGGUAGAAAUCAAGAAAGAGCAUCAAGUGUUGAUGGUUGACAAGAGCACUAGUUUCAAGAAAAAGGGCAAAGGGAAGAAGGGGAACUUCAAGAAGAACGGCAAGCAAGUUGCUGCUCAAGUGAAGAAGCCCAAGUCUGGUCCUAAGCCUGAGACUAAGUGCUUCUACUGCAAAGGGACCGGUCACUGGAAGCAGAACUACCCCAAGUGAUUGGCGGAUAAGAAGGAUGGCAAAGUGAACAUAAGUAUAUUUGAUAUACAUGUUAUUGAUGUGUACUUUACUAGUGUUUAUAGCAACCCCUCAGUAUUUGAUACUAAUUCAGUUGCUAGGAGUAGUAACUCGAAAUGGGAGUUGCAAAAUGAACAGAGACUAGUUAAGGGUGAAGUGACGAUGUGUGUUGGAAGUGGUUCCAAGAUUGAUAUGAUCAUCAUCACACACUCUCUAUACUUUCGGGAUUAGUGUUGAACCUACAUAAGUGUUAUUUGGUGUUUGCGUUGAGCAUGAAUAUGAUUUGAUCAUGUUUAUUGCAAUACAGUUAUUCAUUUAAGUUAGAGAAUAAUUGUUGUUCUGUUUACAUGAAUAAAACCUUAUAUGGUUACACACCCAAUGAGAAUGGUUCAUUGGAUCUCGAUCGUAGUGAUACACAUAAUCAUAAUAUUGAAACCAAAAGAUGCAAAGUUAAUAAUGAUAGUGCAACUUAUUUGUGGCACUGCUGUUUAGGUCAUAUUGGUGUAAAGCGCAUCAAGAAACUCCAUGUUGAUGGGCUUUUGGGAUCACUUGAUUAUGAAUCAGUUGAUGCUUGCGAACCAUGCCUCAUGGGCAAGAUGACUAAGACUCUGUUCUUCGGAACAAUGGAGCGAGCAACAGAUUUGUUGGAAAUCAUACAUACUGAUGUAUGUGGUCCAAUAAAUAUUGAGGCUCGCGACAGGUAUCAUUAUUUUCUGAUCUUCACAGAUGAUUUGAGCAUAUAUAAGCAUAUCUACUUGAUCAAACACAAGUCUGAAACAUUUGAAAAGUUCAAAGAAUUUCAGAGUGAAGUGGAGAAUCAUCGUAACAAAAAUAAAAGUUUCUACGAUAUGAUCGCAGAAGUAAAAUAUUUGAGUUACGAGUUUGGCCUUCAAUUAAAAACAAUGUGAAAUAGUUUCACUACUCACGCCACCUGGAACACCACAGUGUAAUGGUGUGUCCGAACAUCAUAACCGUACUUUAUUAGAUAUGGUGCGAUCUAUGAUAUCUCUUACCGAUCUACCACUAUCGUUUUGGGGUUAUGCAUUAAAGACAGUUGCAUUCACAUUUAAAAGGGCACCAUCUAAAUCCGUUGAGACGACACAAUCUGAACUGUGGUUUGGCAAGAAACCAAAGUUGUCAUUUCUUAAAGUUUGGGAUUGUGAUGCUUAUAUGAAAAAGUUUCAUCCUGAUAAGCUCAAACCCAAAUCGGAGAAAUAUGUCUUCAUAGGAUACCCAAAGGAGACUAUUGGGUACACUUUCUAUCACAAAUCCGAAGGCAAGACAUUCGUUGCUAAGAAUGGAUCCUUUCUAGAGAAGGAGUUUUUCUCGAAAGAAGUGAGUGGGAGGAAAGUAGAAAACUUGAUAAGGUAAUUGUACCUUCUCCCUUAUUGGAAAAUAGUUCAUCACAGAAAUCUGUUCUUGUGACUACUACACUAAUUAGUGAGGAAGCUAAUGAUGAUGAUCAUGUAACUUCAGAUCAAGUUACUACCGAAUCUCAUAGGUAAACCAGAGUGAGAUCCGCACCAGAGUGGUACGGUAAUCCUGUUCUGGAAGUCAUGUUACUAGACCAUGACGAACUUGUAAACUAUGAGGAAGCGAUGAUGAGCCCAGAUUCCGCAAAAUGGCUUGAGGCCAUGAAAUCUGAGAUGGGAUCCAUGUAUGAGAACAAAGUAUGGACUUUGGUUGACUUGCCCGAUGAUCGGCAAGCCAUAGAAAAUAAAUGGAUCUUCAAGAGGAAGACGGACGCUGAUAGUAGUGUUACUAUCUACAAAGCUAGAAUUGUCGCAAAAGGUUUUUGACAAGUUCAAGGUGUUGACUACGAUGAGAGUUUCUCACUCGUAUCUAUGCUUAAAUCUGUCCGAAUCAUGUUAGCAAUUGCCGCAUUUUAUGAAAUCUGGCAAAUGGAUAACAAAACUGCAAUCCUUAAUGAAUUUCUUAAAGAAGAGUUGUAUAUGAUGCAACCAGAAGUUUUUUUCAAUCCUAAAGGUGUUAACAAAAUAUGCAAAUUCCAGCGAUCCAUCUAUGGACUGGUGUAAGCAUCUCGGAGUUGGAAUAUACGCUUUGAUAAGUUGAUCAAAGCAUAUAGUUUUAUACAUACUUGCGGUGAAGCCUGUAUUUACAAGAAAUUGAGUGGGAGCACUACAACAUUUCUGAUAAGUAUAUGUGAAUGACAUAUUGUUGAUCGAAAAUAAUGUAGAAUUAUUCUGCAAAGCAUAAAGGAGUAUUUGAAAGGAGUUUUUCAAAGAAAGACCUCGGUGAAGUUGCUUACAUAUUGAGCAUCAAGAUCUAUAGAGAUAGAUCAAGACGCUUGAUAAGGUUUUUCAAUAAAUACAUACCUUGACAAGAUUUUGAAGUAGUUCAAAAUGGAACCGUCAAAGAAAGAGUUUCUUGCCUAUGUUACAAGGUGUGAAAUUGAGUAAAACUCAAAGCCCGACCACGGCAGAAGAUAGAAAGAGAAUGAAUGUCAUUCCCUAUGCCUUGGUCAUAGGUUCUAUAAAGUAUGCCAUGCUGUGUUCCAGAUCUAUUGUAUACCCUACCACUGAGUUUGGCAAGGGAGUACAAUAGUGAUCUAGGAGUAGAUCACUAGACAGCGGUCAAAAUUAUCCUUAGUGGAAUAAGGAUAUGUUUCUCGAUUGUGGAAGUGAAAAAAGGUUCGUCGUAAAGGGUUACGCCGAUGCAAGUUUUGACACUAAUCUAGAUGAAUCUAAGUCUCAAUCUAGAUACAUAUUGAAAGUGGGAGCAAUUAGCUAGAGUAGCUCCGUGCAGAGCAUUGUUGACAUAAAUAUUUGCAAAAUACUAACGGAUCUGAAUAUAACAGACCCGGUGACUAAAAUUAUCUCACAAGCAAAACAUGAUCACACCUUAGUACUCUUUGGGUGUUAAUCACAUAGUGAUGUGAACUAGAUUACUGACUCUAUUAAACCCUUUGGGUGUUGGUCACAUAUCGAUGUGGACUAUGGGUGUUAAUCACAUGGCGAUGUGAACUAUUGCUAUUAAAUCACAUGGCGAUGUGAACUAGAUUAUUGACUCUAGUGCAAGUGGGAGACUGAAGGAAAUAUGCCCUAGAGGCAAUAAUAAAGUUAUUAUUUAUUUCCUUAUUUCAUGAUAAAUGUUUAUUAUUCAUGCUAGAAUUGUAUUAACCGGAAACAUAAUACAUGUGUGAAUACAUAGACAAACAGAGUGUCACUAGUAUGCCUCUACUUGACUAGCUCGUUAAUCAAAGAUGGUUAUGUUUCCUAACCAUGGACAAAGAGUUGUUAUUUGAUUAACGGGAUCACAUCAUUAGUUGAAUGAUCUGAUUGACAUGACCCAUUCCAUUAGCUUAGCACCCGAUCGUUUAGUAUGUUGCUAUUGCUUUCUUCAUGACUUAUACAUGUUCCUAUGACUAUGAGAUUAUGCAACUCCCGUUUGCCGGAGGAACACUUUGUGUGCUAUCAAACGUCACAACGUAACUGGGUGAUUAUAAAGGAGCUCUACAGGUGUCUCCAAAGGUACAUGUUGGGUUGGCGUAUUUUGAGAUUAGGAUUUGUCACUCCGAUUGUCGGAGAGGUAUCUCUGGGCCCUCUCGGUAAUGCACAUCACUGAAGCCUUGCAAGCAUUGCAACUAAUAAGUUAGUUGCGGGAUGAUGUAUUACGAAACGAGUAAAGAGACUUGCCGGUAACGAGAUUGAACUAGGUAUUGGAUACCGACGAUCGAAUCUCGGGCAAGUAACAUACCGAUGACAAAGGGAACAACGUAUGUUAUUAUGCGGUCUGACCGAUAAAAGAUCUUCGUAGAAUAUGUAGGAGCCAAUAUGAGCAUCCAGGUUCCGCUAUUGGUUAUUGACCGGAGAUGUGUCUCGAUCAUGUCUACAUUGUUCUCGAACCCGUAGGGUCCGCACGCUUAAGGUUACGAUGACAGUUAUAUUAUGAGUUUAUGCAUUUUGAUGUACCGAAGUUUGUUCGGAGUCCCGGAUGUGAUCACGGACAUGACGAGGAGUCUCGAAAUGGUCGAGACAUAAAUAUUGAUAUAUUGGAAGCCUAUAUUUGGAUAUCGGAAGCGUUCCGGGUGAAAUCAGGAUUUUACCGGAUUACCGGGAGGUUACCGGAACCCCCCGGGAGGUAUAUGGGCCUUAGUGGGCCUUAGUGGAAGAGAGGAGAGGUGUCCAGAGAUGGGCCGUGCGCCCCUCCCCCCUUUGGUCCGAAUAGGACAAGGAGAGGGGGCCGGCCCCCCUUCCUCCUCUCUCUCCUCUUUUCCCCCCUCCGCGAAUCCUAUUCCAACUAGGAAAGGGGGGAGUCCUACUCCCGAAGGAGUAGGACUCCUCCUGGCGCGCCACCUCUUGGCCGGCCACCCCCCCUUUGAGCCUUUAUAUACGGAGGCAAGGGGCACCCCUAGAGACACAAGUUGAUCCACGUGAUCAUAUUCUUAGCCGUGUGCGGUGCCCCCUUCCACCAUAGUCCUCGAUAAUAUUAUAGCGGCGCUUAGGCGAAGCCCUGCGACGGUAGUACAUCAAGAUCUUAACCACGCCGUCGUGCUGACGGAACUCUUCCCCGACACUUUGCUGGAUCGGAGUCCAGGGAUCGUUAUCGAGCUGAACGUGUGCUAGAACUCGGAGGUGCCGUAGUUUCGGUGCUUGAUCGGUCGGGCCGUGGAGACGUACGACUACAUCAACCAAGUUAACGCUUCCGUUGUCGAUCUACAAGGGUAUGUAGAUCACACUCUCCCCCUCUCGUUGCUAUGCAUCACCAUGAUCUUGCGUGUGCGUAGGAAAAUUUUGAAAUUACUACGAAACCCAACAAUAAGGGGAUAAGCAUCCAUCUUUUCAUCCACGCCUUCUUCCUCCUUUGCCUAUCCAUUUCCGCGCACUCGAGCUACAGCGCCCAAGUCCGCACACCCCACCUCAACCUUCUCCAGCCAUGUCCGGAGCGGGAGGCAAGUGGAUGGUCUCCUCCGUCACGGAGGGACACAUCAAAAGACCGAGGAAGGCCAGAUACUUGUCUAACGACAUUGCGCACCGGCUUCCCGAAGAGGGGCAGCUCAUCCCCACCCCUAGGCCCCAUGAGAGGGUGGUGUUCCUCCCUCAUUUUCUCCGCGGACUGGGCUUUCCUCUCCACCCAUUUGUCCGGGGGCUCAUGUUCUACUAUGGCCUGGAUUUCCAUGAUCUGGCCCCGAACUUUGUCCUCAACAUCUCGGCGUUCAUCGUCGUGUGCGAGGCUUUCUUCCGCAUCCGCCCCCAUUUCGGCCUAUGGCUCAAGACUUUCAAUGUCAAGCCGAAGGUGGUGCGCGGCACCCAGGCGGAGUGCGGAUGCGCCAUGGUGGGCAAGAUGCCCAACUUUCUAUGGCUCGAGGGCUCCUUCAUGGAGUCCCUAAAGGGGUGGCAAUCGGGGUGGUUUUACAUCACCGAGCCGCGCGACCCUGAAUGGGUCGCAGCCCCCGAGUUUCAUUCCGGAUCCCCUACGCGGCUCGCCUCCUGGAAAGAGACGGGCCUGUCGUGGGGUAAAAAAGGAGAGCUGACUGGACUCCAAACAUGCGUCCAAACCCUGGUGAACAAGAAGCUCAAACUCGUCAACGUAGUCCAGGUUAUGCUCAUCCGCCGGAUUCUCCCGUGUCAACAACGGGCCUUCAACCUGUGGGAGUUCGACCCAGCGCGGCAUCAAACUCUGAGCAGGCUCUUCGACACGACGUACGAAGAUGCCUAGAAGGUGCUUUUCAAGGGCGCCGAGGCCCCCGCAUUCGCUACCGAGGAUCGCGGAUUCAGCACGCAGCGUCACGCUCGCGCGGUAAGCUGUUUUUUACCUUUUACAGGGUAUUUAGUUUUUCAUAGUUUGACUCCAUGCGGGAUCUAAGCUCUCUUGCCUUUGACAGGAUUGGCAGGAGACGUCCGGACAGAUCAACUGUCCGACUUCUUUGCCCGAAGGCCCAGCGGACGCUCGUUUGGCGAAUAUGCUUGUUCCGGCACCCUAUGUGGUGCCGGAGAAGAAGGCCAAGAAGAAGGCCACGGGGACUCGAAAGAGUGCCCGGCGCUAGGAGGUGUCGGAUUCAUCAUCCGACGACUCCAAGGCGCACUCCUCCCACGAAGACGAGGAGGAGGAAGAAGAGACCUCUCCCCCUCCAGCGGGGGAAGGGAAGAAAAUGAAGGCCGCCCCAACUGGGGAGGCCGAAGGGUCCAAGAAGAGGAAGACCCCUCCUCCGGACUACUCCACCAACGCCGACGACGGCGAAGAGGAGUGGCUGCACAGGGCCAAGCCCCUGGCAAGAUCGUAAGUAUCCGGAUACCAGAGUGAUUCAUAGUAUUCCCCCAUUGUGCAGCUUUUCCUUACGUCGAACAUGUUUAUGCAGUCCACCCAAAGACCGGCUUGACGUGUCAUCGAGCGGUUCCCUGGAUUCGUCGGAUGUGAAUUCGCUUCCGACGGCUACCUCCCCCCAUCCUACGGACGACGCCGAGGCAGCGUCCCAACAGGUUCCGAGCUAGGAGGAGGUGGUCCUAGAUGCGCCGCAAGGCGACCUCCCGGACUCCAGGCGUGAAGGGGAUAGAACCCCCAAGGGUUCCAAGUCCAGCUUUGAGCCGGACACCGCGCCGGAACCUUCAACGGUUCCGGACUCCGGUAGGCAGCCUCCUUCCAAGAGGAGCAAGCCUACCGAGCCGGUGACCUCCGUCCAACCGGAGGCACCGGACAAUUUGCUGGAGGUGCUUAACGGCGCCUCCAUCGACGAGGAGCACCGCACUAUUAUGAGUGCAGUGAUCCAGAAGGUUCAGUCCGCCAAGAGCGGACUGACUGAAGCCUGUGCCAGCCUUCCAACAGGCUCCGAGGUAAGUAAAGAAUAUGUAAAAAUAUGCCGGCUUCGCUGCUAGCAUCCGCCGCACUGACUGCGGAGGUGGGCACGCUGAAGCAGAACCUCGAGCGGUCCGAGAACGAGCUCGGCCAUGCCAAGAGGCAACUCGAGGAGACGGAAGGUAAGAAAUACCUUAUUGAAAUAUGUGAAUGGUGCCAUUGCAAAAAGUGACAGGAUUAACGCAGCUAUUGUAGGGGCCACAACUGAGGUGGCGACCCUUAAGCAAGCGCUGUCCGAGGCCGAGAAGAGGGCGGCCACGGAGCGCACUGAGCGGGAGAAGCAUGAGACGCAGGUUGGCGAGGUGCGGCAAGAGCUCCAGGCUCUCAUGAAAAAACAUGAGAGUUUGGAGCUUGACUCAAAGACGCGAGAGUCUGAGCUCGCGGCGGCCAUUGAAGAUGCCAAGUCUGCCAAGGUCGAAGCCCAGAAGGCCCUCCAGGAGGUUGAGGCAAUAAAAAAGAUAGCGGCGGGUAAGGCAUUCUUUAUGCAAAGCAAGCACAUAAAAGUGAAUUACUUCUUACUUACCCAAAUCCGAAGCUCUCCAGGAGCAUUCGCAGACUUGUCCCAUAGCGUGUCGGAUGCCGCCGCCUUCUACCGAGCCGAGGAGGGGAGCUCGACGGAGAAGGUGUUCUGGUCUCAAUAUGCUGAGGCCGAACACCCGAUGCCCUUAAGCGACCAGCUGAAACAGCUGGUUGAGCUCCAUAAGGUGGCCGAACAAGCCAUGAAGGGCCUCAUAGUCUGGCUGUGGCUUGGAGAGGUCAUGUCUGGGAGCUACUUUGGGCUGGUGAGGCGGCUGGUGGAGGCCUGUCCAAGGCUCGAAGUCAUCAAGUGCUCUGUAUGCAUCGAGGGUGCCCGUAGGGCGCUUGCCCAUGCGAAGGUGCACUGGGGCAAGCUGGAUGCUGAGAAGCUUGUGAAGGACGGGCCACCGCCGGGCAAGGAGCAUCGCAAGCCCGAGAUGUAUUAUGAGAGCGUUUUGAAGGGUGCCCGCCUUGUGGCGGAUGAAUGUUCCAUGAAUGUAAUUUUUCAGUAAACUCGCUUGUUUUGUCCUGUGCGCUAAGCAAUGCUUUUUGAAUUUAAAAUAUUACCUUCUGUGCGGCCAUUUAUUAAAUUUGAGAGAUGGCGAGUCGCCGGCUUCUGCCCUCAUGGCACGAGUGUUGGGGUGUUCAGGAUAAACAUGAGCGCUCUUUUUCCCAUUCUUGGGUUCUUCGAGGGAGGUGCUCAACACAAUGAACAAGGCAAUCGGACUAUAAUGCUUGAACACUCUCACUUAGCCAUAGAAUUCUAUAAUUUUAAAUUUCGGCGAAGCCCCUAGUGUUCGGAAGACCGAGUUCGGGGCGCUAUCCACGCCUAGGCCGGACAAAGCCGACUCCUCGCUCUAAGCGGCAUAAGUCUUUAAGGACUCGAAAACCUCUUGAACAGCGACCAGCUCUCGCCUCAUCAUGACGGUCAGUUUUAGCUUUCUGUACUGAGGUGCUUAGCCCAACUCAACUGGGGCACAAUCGCAGUAGUUCUCCUAGUGCUACCUUAGCCGAUAUAACGGAACGUAAGGUACCAAAACAUAGGAGCCGGGCAAACCCAACUAUUGACCCAAGACAUGAUUCGGAGCCAAUGCAUAUAAUGUUAUAAGUUCGGGGUGCCGCACUUGUGAAAGUGUUCGGACUUCUCACACUGUAUUGUGGGGUACUUAAGCCCCUGUCAUAUUGGCCGUACCAAAGUGUACGGGUGCAACAUGUCAUUAAUGAACACAUAUUCGUAAAAAAAGUAAUGCAAUAAUGGACGGAAGCUAUGCAUUGUUUAUUUAAAAAAGCUGCGUUCAAAGCAGAACGAUACAAAUACUGUAAUAAGCAAAAGAUGGGACUAUUUAACAUGUCCUUUCCAGGGGUAAGCUGCGGAAUGUUAUGUGAAACAGGUAUACCGCUCGUUAUAGAGACCACCUUAGAGUUCCAUAGUGCGGCGUAGUUUUCUGCUUCCCUGGUUGUAUCGUCUGUGCGGCAAUUGUACUGCCGGACAAGCCUUCCGAAGAAUGGAGUCCUAAAAAUAAGAGAAAAUUAAGAAAUCGGCAGCCCCUAGUGCGGUUUAAGCCGCGUUUACACUUGCUCGGAACGUGCCCGGUGGUCUUGUUGUAGGUUACUCCGGACGCGCUUGACGGUGUCUAGACGUUUAAUGGCCGGACUGGAGAAUUGCCUUGAGAGGCUGCUUUGUACUUCCGUUGUGAUAGCCGCCGUAUGCUCCUCCGUUCGGAGAGAGCGUUCGGUGUUUCCAUUGACCGUGAUGACUCCUCGAGGGCCUGGCAUCUUGAGCUUGAGGUAUGCAUAGUGCGGCACCGCAUUAAACUUGGUAAAUGCGGUUCGCCCGAGUAGUGUGUGAUAACCACUGCGGAACGGGACUAUGUCGAAGAUUAACUCCUUGCUUCGGAAAUUAUCCGGAGAUCCGAAGACCACUUCAAGUGUAACUGAGCCUGUACAGUUGGCCUCUACACCUGGUAUGACGCCUUUAAAGGUCGUUUUAGUGGGUUUAAUCCUCGAGGGAUCGAUGCCUAUUUUCCGCACUGUAUUCUGGUAAAGCAGGUUCAGGCUGCUGCAGCCGUCCAUAAGGACUCUAGUGAGGUGAAAUCCGUCAAUAAUUGGGUCUAGAACCAAUGCGGCGAAUCCGCCAUGACGGGUGCUAGUGGGGUGGUCCCUUCGAUCAAAAGUGAUCGGGCAGGAAGACCAUGGGUUGAACUUUGGGGUGACUGGCUCCAUCGCGUAUACGUCCCUUAGCGCACGCUUCCGCUCCCUCUUGGGGACGUGGGUUGCGUAUAUCAUGUUCACCGUCCGCACUUGUGGGGGAAAACCUUUCUGUCCACUAUUGUUCGACGGUCGGGGCUCCUCCUCGUCAUCGCUAUGCAGCCCCUUAUCUCUGCUUUCGGCAUUUAACUUGCCCGCCUGCUUGAACACCCAACAAUCCUUGUUGGUGUGAUUGGCUGGUUUUUCGGGGGUGCCAUGUUUCUGGCAUGAGUAGUCGAGUAUUCGGUCCAAAUUGGACGGGCCCGAAGUAUUUCUUUUGAAUGCCUUUUUCCGCUGAACGGGUUUAGAGCCUCUGAAUCCGGCAUUAACUGUCGUAUCCUCAGCAUCGUCGCCGUUAAUGCGGCGCUUUUGCUUGUUGCGACGCGACCUGCCACUGUUGUCCUUGGUAUCCGAAUUACCAGGGCUCUUGGUCAUGUUAUUGCUGCGAGCUAGCCAGCUGUCUUCUCCCGCGCAAAAGCGGGUCAUAAGUGUCGUGAGGGCUGCCAUAGAUUUCGGCUUUUCCUGUCCUAGGUGCCGUGCAAGCCACUCGUCGCGGAUGUUAUGCUUGAAGGCUGCUAGGGCCUCUGCGUCCGGACAGUCGAUGAUUUGAUUUUUCUUGGUUAGGAACCGUGUCCAUAAUUGUCUGGCCGAUUCCUCUGGCUGCUGAAUUAUGUGGCUAAGGUCAUCGGCGUCUGGUGGUCACACAUAAGUGCCCUAGAAAUUGUCGAGGAAUGCGGUUUCCAGGUCCUCCCAACAACCAAUUGAUUCUGCUGGCAAGCUGUUAAGCCAAUGCCGAGCUGGUCCUUUAAGCUUGAGUGGGAGGUAUUUGAUGGCGUGUAGGUCAUCACCGCGGGCCAUGUGGAUAUGAAGGAGAUAGUCGUCGAUCCAUACCGCGGGAUCUGUUGUGCCAUCAUAUGAUUUGAUGUUCACGGAUUUGAAACCCUCAGGGAUUUGAUGAUCCAUUACUUCAUCUGUGAAGCAUAGUGGGUGUGUGUCGCCUCUGUAUUGGGCUAUAUCACGACGCAACUCAAAUGAGCUUUGUCUACUGUGUGCGGCCCGGCCGGAUUGACUGUAUCCGGAGUGACGAUUAUCGUCUCGUGCCGUGGGGCGCCCACGCGAUCCGUAGAUCGAUCUUAUUUGCCUUGCCUUGUCCUCCAAUAUAUCUCGCAGGUCUAGCGCAUUUUCCCAUGCCUUGGUAUUUUUUGAGCGGCGCCGGGGUGCGGCUUGAGUGGAGGGCCGAGAGGCUUCUCUGUCGCGGCCACGGGGUGGCCGAUCGGCCGCAUCAUGCGCUGGUGAUGUAGGUUUAGGUGCUUCCUCCUCUAGUCGGGGUAGCAACCUGUGCUUUGGGUAGCUCUUGGAGGGGCGUUCGAGUUCAUACCCUUCGGCCGCAAGGACUUCAGUCCAUCUGUCGGCUAGCAAAUCUUGACCAGCUCUAAGCUGUUGCUGUUUUUUCUUGAGGCUGCUCGCCGUGGCCAUAAGCCUGCGUUUGAAACGCUCUUGUUCGACGGGAUCCUCCGGCACGACAAAUUCGUCGUCGUCGAGGCUUGCCUCGUCUUCGGAGGGAGGCAUAUAAUUAUCGUCCACACCUCUCUGUCUGUCGCUCUCUCAUGAGGGAUGGCUUCUCCAUCCUCCUAUGCUGAAUUUUGCUGGAGGUGGUUGUCUUCAGCACUGUCCGGGGUGUUAUUAUCUCCCGUGCCAGAAUCACCAUUUUUGCUUUGGCGGGAUUUAGAGCGGCGCCGCUGGCGCCGGCGCUUAGGCUGCUUCUUGGAGGGGUCAUCCUCCGCUGUUCCAUCGCCAUUGCCUUCUUUUGGGGUGUCCACCAUGUAUAUAUCAUACGACGAGGUGGCUUUCCAGUGCCCUAUAGGCGCUGGUUCUUGAUCGUCUCCUGCAUCGGCGUCCAUACUGUCGAUGUCUUCGGAGUCGAAGUCGAGCAUGUCGGUUAAAUUAUCGACAGUGGCUACGAAGUGGGUGGUGGGUGGGCUUUGAAUUUCUUCAUCAUCCGCAUCCCAACCUUGCUGACCAUAGCUUGGCCAGGGCUCUCCUAAAGAGAGAGACUUUAGUGAAUUCAGAAUAUCGCCGAAGGGCGAGUGCUGAAAGAUGUCCGCGGCGGUGAACUCCAUGAUUGGCGCCCAAUCGGGUUCGAUCGGUAGGGGCGCGGAGGGCUCGGAGUCUGGAGAGGAGUCCGGCUCCUUGGAGUCACAGGCUUCGCAGAGAAUAGGGCUGGUGUUCGGCUCGAUCGCCGUAGAGAUUGCAGCCCCCGAGGCGGUGUCCAACCACCCAUCCUUGAUUGGCGCAGUUGGCUCCAAAUUAAGGGUCGGAGCUGAUGCGGGUGCGGCCUCCAGGGCACUGUUCGGCGGUAGAGCUAGAUCAUGCCCAUCGUGACAGUGCGGCGCGCUCGGCUGCGGCUCGAAUCCGUCGAAGAUCAAGUCUCCGCGGAGGUCCGCCGUGUAGUUUAAACUUCCAAAUCUGACCUGACGGCCAGUGGCGUAGCUUUCGAUCUGCUCCAGAUGGCCAAGCGAAUUGGCCCGCAGUGCAAAGCCGCCGAAUACGAAGAUCUGUCCGAGGAGAAAGGUCUCACCCUGGAUCGCAUCGCUGUUAAUGAUUGGAGAAGCCAUCGGGCCUAAAAGUGACGACACAGAGGAACUCUCAAUGAAAGCACCAAUGUCGGUGUCAAAACCGGCGGAUCUCGGGCAGGGUCCCGAACUGUGCGUCUAGGCGGAUGGUAACAAGAGGCAGGGGACACGAUGUUUUACCCAGGUUCGGCCCCUCUUGAUGGAGGUAAAACCCUAUGUCCUACCACGAGAUCAGAGAGGCUAAACCCUAGAAGCUAGCCUAUGGUAUGAUUGUUGUUCGUCCUACGGAUUAAAACUUUCCGGUUUAUAUAGACACCGGAGAGGGCUAGGGUUACACAGAGUCGGUUACAAUGGUAGGAAAUCUACAUAUCCGUAUCGCCAAGCUUGCCUUCCACGCCAAAGAAAGUCCUUUCCGGACACGGGACGAAGUCUUCGAUCUUGUAUCCUCAUAGUCCAGGAGUCCGACCGAAGGUAUAGUCCGGCUAUCCGAACACCCCCUAAUCCAGAACUCCCUCACUCAUCUUGCCGGCAUGCUCUGAAGGAUUUGCUCAAAGUCAAUGUGGUUGCAACGAAUAGGCACAACCGAGCUUUUUUGGAAGUUGAAGCAAAAGCCCGUCACGUCCCCAAAGCCUCUCAGGAUAGAGGCGAGAUUGUCGAUGUCUCGUUUGAUGGGAGCCACAAAGACCGCCGCAUCGUCCGCAUAGAGGAGGUGUGGAAACAGAUUUCGUAGGAAUGUGGAAACGCCAUUACGCCAGUAAUAAUUUCCAGAUGCGUUCAAUCCAGCGGUCCAAGUCGACGGGGACGAAAGCAGACAGCUACAGCCGGGGGAGCUGCAAACACACACACACACACAUUCCUGAAGACCGAAGAGCGUUCCACUACGUGAAGAAAAGUCAGCAAACAAGUUAUGAUUUCGAGUGGGCUCGGAACAUGCGGCAAAUAAAAAGAGGAAAAGGGAAAAGACACAUGGAUGCCUUGCUUGGUGGGGUGAUAGAAUCAGUCCUUCCCUCCACUGGGAACUGGGACCAGUUCGAUUCAACAUCCAACUGUAAAGAAAAAGAGCACAGCACAGUACAGGAUCUUCCAUUCUCUUCACAGAACAUCUGCUAGCGUUGCUAACCUGGUACCUUAAACGUGCAGGUCCUAUCAUCUACUUACAUGUGGAGCAAGCUAUCAUUGUCGACGGCCCAUGAGAUGCUGCUAUGUCUUUCCUCUGUGUUUGUUAGUUGGAGUGUCAGAUGCUGCCUUGGCCUAAUGGUGACACGGAAGCGACUGCGCGACACCGUUCAAAUGGAGCUCUUCAGCCCGUCUCUCGAGCCGGUAAUCCAUGGCUCUCCAGGUCUUGCAGCUCGUUAGAUCUCCGCGGCGCUCCGUCUGCUUUGCGUUCAGAGGCAGUCAGUCCAGAAGGAAUAGGAAAGCUGUAUGUAAAGACUAAGGUGCAAUCAAUCAAAACAGACUUACUAGGACCAUGUUCGUCGUCAUCGCUAUCGCCAUUUUGAGAUGUGAAAAAUGGAGUGAGGUAGUUUCUGUCCAAUGCGGCCAAGGAGGGCGUGCUGCAACAACAGUCAAAACAGGUGGAUUCAAAUGCAUUGAAGAAUUCCUGUGGAAAAUCAUGUGCCUAAACUUGGUGUCAUUAAAAAACCUUGUGCAGCCUAUUAAAAAACUUUCAGUGCUCCUGCAGCCAUGAAAAGCAUGUGCUAUCCUUUGAUUUAGCAAAAUUUUAACUGCUGGCUUACUUUUUCUGGAUUUCUUGGAGUUUCAGUUUGAAUUUGCUUGUGGUAGAAGUCCCCUCUUCAUUGCCCAGUUCUAUGUUGCCCGCAUUAUUGUUCCCCUCAUAGUUCUCCUGGUCCUGCAAGUCAACAAUCAAUAAAACUAGUAAAAAUUUACAAAUCAUAAAGGAUGCUCAAGAGCUACCUACAAGCCUUUAUCAGUAGAAGAAAGAAUACACCAGUAACCCAUGAAGAUCCCAUACCUAUCACAUGUAUGCAUAUACGGGCCACAACAAGGCUGCAUUAUCCCAUGAGGCCAUGACAGAACCAGUGACAACCACAACCAUAAGAAGUUUUUUGGAAAGUUUCUAACGAAACCUCUAUGUUAUGAGCAUAGAGCCUACCAGAGCAUAGUUUACGCUGCCGCGGUGAAAGCUAUACUGAACAACAACGCAAUCGUGCCCAAUUUUCCCAGGGGAAAAUGCAAAAGCUUUGCGUUGAUAGAUAAGAAGUUUAAUUACAAGCCUGGAUUGUGAUUUGUAACCAUGCCAUCGUAUAGGAAGAAAUGUAGGAUAUAGCUUAGUUAUUUUUAUGAGGUGCAUAUUACUUGCCUCAAGUGAAGGGCGACGACCAUCAUUACCAUCUCCCACAACAUGUAGAGCUUCAAGCAUUGUGCUUGUUGAGCCUCCAAUCAGAAGUACCUGGAUUAUCGCCAUGCGAGAAAUUAUUCGGGAUGGUCUACACUCGGUACUAGCAGUAGUAGCAAUACCAGCAUGUCUUCCUAUUGCCAUAGCAGUUCUUUCACUAAUGACAUCUCUAGUGUAGUUUGAUUGUUUGAUAUCUUACUGUUAGAACAACAAUAGAUAUGGUGGCACUCAAAAUUGUCUGUCCAUGGCCAUCAGGAAGAUCAUGAACAGAUUGAAGAGCAAGGGCAAAAGCCAUAGCCCCUCUAAGACCUGCACAAGUAAAUGCACAAAAACUUUGAUAGAACUGCUUAAUAUGCCAAAAAUUAUACUGAGCAAGCAUGCUUGUCAGACUACAUACCACUAUACCAAAGUGCCUGUUGAUAUUGCCUGGAUAUUUGCCGCUGAGGUGGCCGUACCAUAUUUACCAAGAAAGCACACGAGAAAACAUUUGCAGCCCUUCAAAAUAAGAGGACACGGCAAAAACAAGCAACUUGAGCAAACUCAUAUACACGAAUAAUGUGCAGUUACCCAGUUCAGUUAAGAAAUUUAGAGCCUGCCCCGCAAAUGCUUCAGCUUGAGCAUCGAUCUAUUGUAUACCAAACACGAUGCCAUUUUUAUAAUGCUUGUGUGGUUCUGUCAGAUCUUAUUAAGUCUGUCGUAUCGGGAGGUUGGUGUUCAGUUGUUGACAGCUUAUUGGCAGACAUACAAACGAACCCUCCAACCUCACCAAACGAACCUUAUGAAACAGCAACAAUGGAAUUUGAACAAGGCCGAAUGAAAGCAUACCUUGCAACUAAUAUGAAGAUCUUCAUGAAACGAACGAAGUAAAUGCUAAGGAAAAGGAAAAAUAGCAGUGUAUCUCAUAAGAAGGAAUUAUGCACAGUAUAAAGUAGCUCCCAGUCAAAGUGAAGGAUACAACUGAGAAAAAUAUGAACCCAAUGUGUGACCAGCUUUGACGCUCCAUCGCAAUAUCAAAUCCCAUAUAUAUGAAUCUGUAGGGAGAUUAGACAAGUUUGUAUGUAAAUUUACCAAAAACAGAAAGCUUUUAAGUGUUGACUUACACAAAAGUUUCUGCUAAUGAUGAAAGCAGAUGGAAAAGUGCAGCAGUGAAACGCUGGGAGUCUUCUGACAAGUUCGAGAAUGUGUAUCUCUUCAUCACCUAAAAAGAAAAGUUCCACUAUCAAGUACAUAACUGCAGGCAGAAAUAAUAAUCCCUGACUGCCUCAUUUAAGUUGAACCUACGAUUCCAGUAAAGAGUAUUGAGACUAUGCCAGACAGACCGAAGCCUUCAGCUAGCAUGUACCUGCAAAUGAAUUUACAAUUGAAUCUAGAAGCCUCAAAGCCUGAGAAAAAGUAAUUCAAGUAAGGUGUGCUCACGAGAAGUAUGGGAAAAGUACAAACAAGCAGCUCUCGAGGUUAUAAAGGCUGAAAAAAAAGGAGUUGCUUAUUAUAUCCAGGUAAACUUUGUUUCCCCCCAAAAAAAUUGAUCAGGGAUGUUACUUACUUCUCAACACCGAGUGUUGAAUACUUGAAGAGGUUUUACAGAAUUAAGGACUAACAGAUGGUUAUCAGCAUGCCAAAAUAAUGCAGAAUACAACCUAACGGCAUGCUAACACAAGAUCAGUUUUACCGAAAAAGGGUUUCCCCCCGCUUUAUAAAUAAAGCAACUUCCACCAAUCACACGGUAACUGCUGGGGCGCACAGCACAUCAAGCCCAAAAGAGAAAGAAGAAGAACAAAAUGCCAACAACGGCAACUCGGCAAAGCUAAGAUGAUCCGCCUCCGCUGCGCCCUCCGGAUUCGUCCCACCACACACCAAGGCUCCGAAUUGCCGCGUAACCAAGCAGCACCUCCAAGAAGGGGUGCGACGUCGACGACGCUGCUGCCCGGACAUGUCCUACGGUUUCCCCCGGCACGCGGAGAGGAGUGGAGGAUGGGUAACACCUACGCCCCUCAGGAAGGAAAGGCGACGCCCGCAGGCGACACCGCGUCGGCGCCGAAAGAACCGGCAGGGAUUUCUCCCGCAUCCCAACCACCACUAUCCGUCCGAUCCGGAGCCAACCAGCCAGCCAACCACCAACCAGCAUACGCCACCACGGUCUUGAAGUCAUCCAUGCCGCCUCAUUGAGACCGCCAUCACGAGGCCUAGAGGAUGGAGAGAGGAGCGCCAGAAAUCGGGAGGGGGAGCACCGGAGCCGCGCCGGAGGGAACCACCUCCACCACCAUUGUGCGGGAGGCCUGUGCCUCCAGCACCGUCGCGGGUGCCGACCGGACGUGGCCGCAGUGGCACACCAGGCCACCCCAGGCCCGGCCAGGCCCAUCUCGGGCCCGCAAAGCCGCUGCCGCCCCGCUGCAGCAAGCCGGCGACAGUGCCGCCCCCACCCAGCCUUCCUACGCCCGAACUGCACCUCCAGGGGGCUCCGCCGUCGAUGAGAAGCCGCCGGCCCGCCGCGGCCCAGAUGGGCCCGAAGGGGCCCAGAUCUGGGCCGAGCAGGCGCCGCCACCCCCCACCAUCGCGAGCUCCGCCGCCAACGGCAGCGCCGCCGCGCAGCCAGCCUCCCACGCCUGCGCCAGGUUGCCCCGCCGCCGCGCCGGACCGCCGCCGCCUGAGCACACCACCAGGAAACGCGCCGCCCCGCGCAGGUCGCCUCCGGGAGGGAAAAAGCAGGGGCCGCCGCCACCGGCGCCGCCCGGGGCAAGCCCGGCACCGCACGCCGGCGGCGGCGGGGGGGAAGGUGGCGGGGGAAGGCCUCUGGAGAAGGGGGACGGAAGCGCGGCCGGCCGCCCGCGGGGAGGCGGCGCGGUCGCGAGAGAGGAAAGGGGGGAUCCCUAAGUUUCCCAAUUUACCCGCUUUAUGCCCGAGUGCUACUGAUCAGGAACCAAUGUUCCACACUGUUCUGAGAUGACAAGAUCAGUUUUUAUUUAAUCCAGAUAUGAAAAGAACACAUCUAGGUUUAAUUUUUCCACCAAAAGCAUGUAAGCAGUGUCCUCAUAUUCAAGCAGAGCAACAAACCAAUAUUGUGUGAUCAAUGCUUCAGAAAGCAUUACCAAAAAAAACAUCACAUAUAAAUUGCAGCUUUCAGUGGGAGAAAACCAUUAAAGCUCUGCUAAUGAUGCAAAAAGUAGGGUGAAGGAAGGAUAUGAGAGCAGAAAUAAAUCCAGCUCCAGCACCUGCAAAGAUAAAAGUAGCUAGAAAGUCAGUUCUCUACUGCCAUGCAAUUUGCACUCAUAUGCAUAAGCAUAAAAUAAAACCAGGGGAGAUAAACCACAGUGACAUCAAAACUGUAGGCAGGAAAUCUGUAGCAAAUGACCAUAUGAAUACAUUGUUUGUCACCAUACCUGUUGACAUUGACCCAAAGAAGUUCUCGAGAAACCUUAAGAUAACUACGAAAAUGUUUUGGCUAGAAGCAUUCGUCCUCAGAGAUGCCAUAGUCCUGAAGAUGAAGGGAGUCAAGGCGGAUCCGGAAGAAGCAAAUGAAUGAACCAAAGGAGAUCACAAAUACUGCGCUGACCUGUACAAGGAGAUUGCCAUCUUCAUCGCCACAAAACAGAUUGAUAUCAAGCAAGGUGUAAGUAUCAGUAAGAGUAAUAAUACUAACAAUUUUACGUAAACAGAAAUCAUACAGCAUCAUUUAGCACAGAUUCACCGAAAACCAGCGCAUAGAGGUUCACGUCCGUGCCAAGUUCCUGCAGUUAAAUGAAAAGUAAGUAAUCAUUGCUUCUAGGAUACCAGUAAACACAGUGUACUAGUACCUAAGUUGGUGACAGAAACCUGAAAUAUCGACAGCACAGUUACAGGAUCAGUUGCUGACACAAGGGCACCAAACAUCAUACACUCAACCAGAGGCAUCCUAUAGACAAGAUGUAUUAACCCAGCAAGAUAGCUGCAAUGACAGCGCAUCAUCAGAUGUUCACAGGUCAAAGGGUUGGCAUACAAUAUGAAUGCAAGCAAAGUAGUCUAGACUCUUACACUAAAACACCGGUGACAAUGGAGGCAAUUAAGGUUCCAACGAUUGCAAAAGUAAUAAUAGCACCAAAGUUUGAGAAGAAUGGUUUCUGCAAUCACAGAGAUAGUAUAUUUUAGCUGCAGCUAGACAGAAUCUCGAAAAAUAGGGGCAUGGGAAAUGCAGCACUUACUGGUGCUAAGCUGAAGCCGGACUGGGUAGCAUGCAGUCAAGCAAAACAUUUUGCGUGAGAUUUACAAAAGACAUAGCGGGAAGUAUAAUGAAGCAUUUUUGGAAAAGGGAGGUAAAAUGAAACAUAUGCCAAGGAUAUAAUAUGAUAGGAGGCAGCAAGAACAGAAAGAAGAGCUCCUCCCGGAAAUUGAACCAUCUCCUGAAAUUACAAAGAAAAGGAUAUCAUAUCAGCAUGGUAAACAAGGAACAUAUUGAGACGCUUAGGUUCUUGGGAAGAAGGCAGUAUAUACCUUGUACUUUUCUGGGCGUUAGAUACGCUAGCAAGACCUCCCACGAUCAACCCUGCCAUAAGUGGAUGGUAGGUUAUCAUAGAGUCACAAUAGAAGAGAUUUAUCUAAUUCCUGGACCAAGUAUAACUAAAACUGUAACUUGCAGACGUCCUCAUCUUUUUGCAGACCAGCAGCAAAAUCACAAGAGGGAUCAGCAACCAAAAUUAUGAAACCAUUGGGUCUUGCAGGUAUACACUGAUAAAAAUGCCCAAAUGCUCACAUAUGCAAAACGGAUAUAACCAGUUGAUACUGCAGGUAUGUUAUGAAACUUCAUUCCCAUCAUUAUUUAUAACCUCAGGACUCAGGUUUCAGCGUAAUAAAGAAACAAUUUCGAAAUGAGUAGGAGUUUCAUAUCCAGGGGAGAUCACCCCCCCCCCCCAAACCCCCUAUUCAAUUAGAGCAUGAAACAAUGUUCCCAAAGUGCUGACAAAAUUCAUUGAUGAAGAUACUUCAUUAUUGCAAACCUUGCAAAACCUCAUACUCAAAAUUGUCUCUCUUGUCGGGAACAAAGAAAGAAAAGCACUCAGUUAUGAACAAUGUAUCCAUUUGCUACGGUGCUGCUUGACUUUUUUUAUCCUCGAUAACAGGGGGAUAAAUUAGUAUGAAAUUUAAUAUAACAUUAUGUGAACUACAUCGAUGAAUUUGUUCAGAAUUUUUUGAAACAUUUAAUCCUGAAUUUGUAUGCGAUUUUCUCAAAAAGGUGGGAAGUUGCGCUGGACAUGAAGCAGUUUUCCAUGCCAAAAUAGACCAUACAUUAUGGCCCUUGAGAUGAAGGGUGGAGCCACAACAUGGGCAUGAUGCGACAUGAAGAAAGCGCAGCUCCUAUUUUGCUACAGUAUUUAAAGGCAUGAGAACAUCAGCACAGAUACACAACAAAAAAAUAUGUACAAAAAGGAAAAGGAAUGAAGCAUUCGUUUUACGUAGAGCCUUCGUGAUCAGUUGCCUGACCAGUUGUUUCAUGCUUCUGUAACUAAUUUUCUGAAGCAGAUUAAACUGAGUACAACACACCACAGUUCAGCAACUGCAAGCUAAGCCUUCGUGAUCUAAAGCAAGCCCACAAUCAAAUGGUCAGACAUGGCCAGAUUCAUCUAUAAAUAGGCCACUGUGUUCUUGAUUCAUGAAUCUGUAAUUUUUGGAGUUGGACUGAGAAUUUUUUUAGUUCGCGCAGCAACAGAUUCAGCAGUUGACUAUUGUUACAGGCUUCAUCGUGCUAUCCGCCAAUCAUCAUUCGAAGUUCAACAUCAUUUAACCAGCAUUUGAUCGCCCAAACCCCAACAAAGUAAACCCGCUACUGUAGAACUGCCUCCCGUUUUCGCGGCCAACCGACACGUGUCACGAAACCGCAGUAACCCCGGAGAGGCCACAUCAAUCAAACAGCCCAGAAUCUUCAAAAUGGCGCGGGCGCCGGACGUACAGCAGACGUACCGAUGAGGAGCGACGCGCUGGCCUCGGGGAGGUAGUAGACCCUGCGGCGGCGGAGGAGGUGGCUGAGCACGAACGCCAGCACCAGCAUCGAUAUCUGCAGCAGGAUCCCCACCCCCGCCGCCUCCUCCUGCUCCUCCACCGUCGGCGCCCCCUGCGGCGGCGCCCCCGCCGCCAUCCCUCCCUCCCCCUCUCCCUCGCAAGCUCUCGCGGGUGCGAAUGCUUCCUUGGCUUCGGCGCCUCGUUUGAUUCCCGAUGAUUCCCUUUACGGGAUAUUUGUCGCUGUUUUCCUUUCGAAAGUUCUGUUUCCGCCUCUGAAAUUGUCUUCGGGGUUCCUCUCGUGCUCGUUCCUCUCUGCGUGGACGGCUGGGAUGCGUUUGACUGUACCUGACGGCUGGGAUGCGGCUGGGACUGGGGGAGCUUGCCACGUCUCCGUGGACAUUUGCACGGAGGAAGCAUGAAAGAACAUUGAGUUGAGUUUUACUUAGAACAUCUUCAACAACCGUCCAACGCGUCGCGCGCUAAAAAUCACUUUUCCGCGUAUUCUUUGGAUGGAUUUGCGUGACCGACAGCGCUGGCUCCAACAGCCGCAUUAAAAUGCAGCGCACGCGACUCGCCGGCGCAUCCAUAUGUUGCAUUUUGGACACAAAAUAGAUUUCAAACAUUCAAAAUGCAAUGAACAUGACAUAUAAAUUUCACACAAACAGAUGAAUAAAAGUUCAUGCCCAUAAGUUCAUCCAACCAAAUUCAAAAUGCAAACCAAGUUCACCACACAAACGAAAGACACAUCAAGCCUCGUCCUCGUCUUCGUCCUCAUCUUCGAAAGACGAUUCUUCCUUCUCCGAAGAUGAUUCUUUCUCCUUCUCCUCAUCAUUGUCGCGCACCGCAUAACGUGAAGCUCGGACGAUGUUGGCAAGAUCUUCAACGACAUCUUCAUGAGAAGGUGUGUGAGGCACACCGAAAGACAUUUCGCCCAUGGCGGCCGGAGGUGCACCCAUGCCCCCUAUGAGAGAAGCAAAACUCAUGCCUCCCAUGGCGGCCAUGGCGUCGGGCGGUGCUCCAAAGCCACACAUGGCUCCCAUGGUCUCCAUGGUAGCUUCAAAGCCACCCAUGACAGUUAAGCCGCCCACGGUAGCUCCGAAGCCACCCAUGGCACCAAGGCCACCGCCACCCAUUGCGCGAAUCGUAGCUCUCUUUUGAUCAAGACUUUUUCACGGGGAAGAUUGACAUACUUCUUUUACAUCUCAUUGAGGAUAGAUGUGUCCAAGAAGAACAAGUGCUUCUCCCAUUUCAACAAUCUAGUUCGCUCAUCAUUGCUCACCUUCCUCUCCUCCAAAGCCACCUUCCUCUCCUCGGUAGCCACCCUCCUCUCCUCGGCCGCCAACCUCCUCUCCUCAGCCGCGGCAUCUUGGUUCAUUGCCAUUUUCCUCACCUCGUUGGCUUCUUUUCUUGCCUUCACAAUAGCUUCCAUAGCAUUUUUGAGCUCAUCAUCUCCUUUCAUCUUCUUUUUUUUUGCGUCUUUCUUGCACCCAUCCGGUCGUUUUGGCUUCGAGUAUGAAACCGAGUUGGGUGUGGGGCUUCUCUUGCCGUCACUUGAUGCAUCCUCCUCCUCCUCCUCAUCAUCAUCAUUCAACUCAAUUGUUCGCUUGCGUUUGUUGUUCAAAUCCAAAUCAUCAUGCUUCUUCCAUUUCUCAUCAUCCUUCAACACUUCAUAGCAAUGAGGCAAGGUAAAUAUCCUUCCUUUCUUGAUCUUCCCCUUCUUGGUUCUCUUUUCCUCUCCUUUGAACAAGUUUUGUGCAAUGUUGUACUACAUGAAAACAAAGCAAGCUAGCACUUCAAACACCAACAACAAGUAUGAUGAACAUGGAUGAAAUGCCACUUACUCUAUCGUCCUCAUUGGUGCCACUUGGGUUCAACUUGUCAACCGCCUUUUGUGCGACCGCCCACUUUUGACAAUCCUUGUUGAUUGUCGACCACCGGGACCAAAGUGAUCGCUCGGAGCGGUCAAUUCCACGUUGCGAACAUCAAAGUGUCCUUUCAUCCGCCCCCAAUAAGCAUCUCUACUUUGAUCACCUUCAACGGAUGGAUCCCUCGACACUUCCAACCAAGUAUCGCAUAGUAAGAUGUCUUCAGCAUUGGUGUAAUUGCCCGCUCUUCCUUUCGGCGCGUCGACAAUGCCCUCACCAUCCUCUUCCACCUCGAACUCAUGGUCUUCAAAAUGCAUGCCAUUGGUUUGAGACCAAUGCGAAUUGUUGGAGCCAACACCCAUAGUUGACAUGUAUGCAUCAUCGUUGAUACUACAAAAUAUAUAGAACAAUGCAAAUAAGCUAUCUAUAUGAAUGCAUUCAAAAAAUAACAAGGAAAGAAAAGUUGGAAAAAAUGUCUACCUUUGGGGCAUAUCGUCGAACACGUUGUGCGCGUCGGCCGCCGGCUCAACGAGUGAGCUCGCCGGCGCUUCGGUAGCCGCCGCGCCCGUCACAUGCCCUGCAAGCUUCUUCCUCCUCGCCUUCGAGGUGCCAAAGCCGUCCGCCACCUUGUUCUUCUUCACGGAUGUCUUGCCCUUNNNNNNNNNNNNNNNNNNNNNNNNNNNNNNNNNNNNNNNNNNNNNNNNNNNNNNNNNNNNNNNNNNNNNNNNNNNNNNNNNNNNNNNNNNNNNNNNNNNNNNNNNNNNNNNNNNNNNNNNNNNNNNNNNNNNNNNNNNNNNNNNNNNNNNNNNNNNNNNNNNNNNNNNNNNNNNNNNNNNNNNNNNNNNNNNNNNNNNNNNNNNNNNNNNNNNNNNNNNNGCGGCGCCGUCGCGACGCCACCCGCCGCCGAGGUCAUCCGCGGCGGCAUGAAGAGGCCGCGCGCGAGGCCGAUGCUCGGAGGAGCUCCGGCAGAGGCGAGGCUGAUACGUCUCCGUCGUAUCUACUUUUCCAAACAAUUUUGCCCUUGUUUUGGAUUCUAGCUUGCAUGAUUUGAAUGGAACUAACCCGGACUGACGCUAUUUUUAGCAGAAUUACCAUGGUGUUAUUUAUGUGCAGAAACAAACGUUCUCAGAAUGACCUGAAAUUUCAUGGAGCGACUUUUCAGAAAAUAUGAAAAAUACCUGCAAAAGAUGAAGGCCAGGGGCCCACCACCUCUCCACGAGGGUGGGGGCGCGCCUUGUUGGGGAACGUAGCAGAAUUUUAAAAUUUUCUACGCAUCACCAAGAUCAAUCUAUGGAGUCAUCUAGCAACGAGGGAGAGGGGAGUGCAUCUACAUACCCUUGUAGAUCGCGAGCGGAAGCGUUCAAGAGAACGGGGUUGAUGGAGUCGUACUCGUCGUGAUCCAAAUCACCGAUGACCUAGCAUCGAACAGACGGCACCUCCGCGUUCAACACACGUACGGUUGGGAAGACGUCUCCUCCUUCUUGAUCCAGCAAGGGGAAGGAGAGAUUGAUGGAGAUCCAGCAGCACGACGGCGUGGUGGUGGAAGCAACAGUGAUUUUGGCAGGGCUUCGCCAAGCUCCAACGAGAGAGAGAGAGGUGUUAUGUGGGGAGAGGGAGGCGCCAGAGACUUGGUGCGGCUGCCCUCCCUCCCCCCACUAUAUAUAGGGCCCCUAGGGGGGCGUUGGCCCUAGAGAUUGGAUCUCAAGGGGGGCGGCGGCCAAGGGGGGGUGGCUUGCCCCCCAAGCCAAGUGGGGCGCCCCCACCCCUAGGGUUUCCAACCCUAGGCGCAGGGGGGGGCCCAAGGGGGGCGCACCAGCCCAAUAGGGGCUGGUUCCCUUCCCCACUUCAGCCCAUGGGGCCCUCCGGGAUAGGUGGCCCCACCCGGUGGACCCCCGGGACCCUUCCGGUGGUCCUGGUACAAUACCGAUUACCCCCGAAACCUUCCCGAUGGCCGAAAUUUGACUUCCUAUAUAUAGAUCUUCACCUUUGGACCAUUCCGGAACUCCUCGUGACGUCCGGGAUCUCAUUCGGGACUCCGAACAACUUUCAGGUUACCGCAUACUAGUAUCUCUACAACCCUAGCAUCAUCGAACCUUAAGUGUGUAGACCCUACGGGUUCGGGAGAUAUGCAGACAUGAUCGAGACGACUCUCCGGUCAAUAACCAACAGUGGGAUCUGGAUACCCAUGUUGGCUCCCACAUGUUCCACGAUAAACUCAUCGGAUGAACCACGAUGUCGAGGAUUCAAUCAAUCCCAUAUACAAUUCCCUUUGUCAAUCGGUACGUUACUUGCCCGAGACUCAAUCGUCGGUAUCACAAUACCUCGUUCAAUCUUGUUACCGGCAAGUCACUUUACUCAUACCGUAAUGCAUGAUCCCGUGACCAAACACUUGGUCACAUUGAGCUCAUUAUGAUGAUGCAUUACCGAGUGGGCCUAGAGAUACCUCUCCGUCAUACGGAGUGACAAAUUCCAUUCUCGAUCCGUGUCAACCCAACAGAUACUUUCGGGGAUACCUGUAGUAUACCUUUAUAGUCACCCAGUUACGUUGUGACGUUUGGUACACCCAAAGCACUCCUACGGCAUCCGAGAGUUACACGAUCUCAUGGUCUAAGGAAAUGAUACUUGACACUGGAAAAGCUCUAGCAAACGAACUACACGAUCUUGUGCUAUGCUUAGGAUUGGGUCUUGUCCAUCACAUCAUUCUCCUAAUGAUGUGAUCCCGUUAUCAAUGACAUCCAACGUCCAUAGUCAGGAAACCGUGACUAUUUAUUGAUCAACGAGCUAGUUAACUAGAGGCUUACUAGGGACAUGUUAUGGUCUAUGUAUUCACACAUGCAUUAUGAUUUCCGGAUAACACAACUAUAGCAUGAACAAUAGACAAUUAUCAUGAACAAGGAAAUAUAAUAAUAAUCAUUUUAUUAUUGCCUCUAGGGCAUAUUUCCAACAGUCUCCCACUUGCACUAGAGUCAAUAAUCUAGUUACAUUGUGAUGAAUCGAACACCCAUAGAGUUCUGGUGUUGAUCAUGUUUUGCUCGAGGAAGAGGUUUAGUCAACAGAUCUGCGACAUUCAGGUCCGUAUGCACUUUGCAAAUAUCUAUGUCUCCAUUUUGAACAUUUUCACGAAUGGAGUUGAAGCGACGCUUGAUAUGCCUGGUCUUCCUGUGAAAUCUGGGCUCCUUGGCAAGGGCAAUAGCUCCAAUGUUGUCACAAAAGCGAGUCAUCGGGCCCGACGCAUUGGGAAUAACUCCUAGGUCGGUAAUGAACUCCUUCACCCAGAUUGCUUCUUGUGCUGCCUCCGAGGCUGCCAUGUACUCCGCUUCACAUGUAGAUCCCGCCACGACACUUUGCUUGCAACUGCACCAGCUGAUUGCCCCACCAUUCAAAAGAUACACGUAUCCGGUUUGUGACUUAGAGUCAUCCAGAUCUGUGUCGAAGCUAGCAUCGAUGUAACCCUUUACGACGAGUUCUUCGUCACCUCCAUACACGAGAAACAUAUCCUUAGUCCUUUUCAAAUACUUCAGGAUAUUCUUGACCGCUAUCCAGUGUUCCAUGCCGGGAUUACUUUGGUACCUUCCUACUAAACUUACGAUAAGGUUUACAUCAGGUCUGGUACACAGCAUGGCAUACAUGAUAGACCCUAUGGCCGAGGCAUAGGGGACGACACUCAUCUUUUCUCUAUCUGCUGCCGUGGUCGGGCAUUGAGUUGUGCUCAAUCUCACACCUUGCAAUACAGGCAAUAACCCCUUCUUGGACUGAUCCAUAUUGAACUUCUUCAAUAUCUUGUCAAGGUAUGUACUUUGUGAAAGACCAAUGAGGCGUCUCGAUCUAUCUCUAUAGAUCUUGAUGCCUAAUAUAUAAGCAGAUUCUCCAAGGUCCUUCAUUGAAAAACACUUGUUCAAGUAGGCCUUUAUGCUUUCCAAGAAUUCUAUAUCAUUUCCCAUCAAUAGUAUGUCAUCCACAUACAAUAUGAGAAAUGCUACGGAGCUCCCACUCACUUUCUUGUAAACGCAGGCUUCUCCAUAAGUCUGUGUAAACCCAAACACUUUGAUCAUCUCAUCAAAAUGAAUGUUCCAACUCUGAGAUGCUUGCACCAGCCCAUAGAUUGAGCGUUGGAGCUUGCACACCUUGUCAGCGUUCUUAGGAUCGACAAAACCUUCCGGCUGCAACAUAUACAAUUCUUCCUUAAUGAAACCAUUAAGGAAUGUCGUUUUGACGUCCAUUUGCCAUAUCUCAUAAUCAUAGAAUGCGGCAAUUGCUAACAUGAUUCGGACGAACUUCAGCUUCGCUACGGGUGAGAAAGUCUCAUCGUAGUCAACCCCUUGAACUUGUCGAUUACCUUUAGCGACAAGCCGAGCUUUAUAGAUGGUCACAUUACCAUCCGCGUCUGUCUUCUUCUUAAAGAUCCAUUUAUUUUCUAUGGCUCGCCGAUCAACAGGCAAGUCAGUCAAAGUCCAUACUUCGUUUUCAUACAUGGAUCCUAUCUCGGAUUUCAUGGCUUCCAGCCAUUUGUCGGAAUCUGGGCCCGCCAUCGCUUCUUCAUAGUUCGAAGGUUCACCAUUGUCCAACAACAUGAUUUCCAGGACAGGGUUGCCGUACCACUCUGGUGCGGAACGCGUCCUUGUGGACCUUCGAAGUUCAGUAGCAGCUUGAUCUGAAGUUUCAUGAUCAUCAUCAUUAACUUCCUCCCUAGUCGGUGCAGACACCUCAGGAACAAUUUCUUGAGCUGCGCCACUCUCCGGUUCAAGAGGCAAUACUUCAUCAAGUUCUACUUUCCUCCCACUUACUUCUUUCGAGAGAAACUCUUUCUCUAGAAAGGAUCCAUUCUUGGCAACAAAUGUCUUGCCUUCGGAUCUAAGAUAGAAGGUAUACCCAAUAGUUUCUUUAGGGUAUCCUAUGAAGACGCAUUUUUCCGAUUUGGGUUCGAGCUUUUCAGGUUGAAGUUUCUUGACAUUAGCAUCGCAUCCCCAAACUUUCAGAAACGACAGCUUAGGUUUCUUGCCAAACCACAAUUCAUACGGUGUCGUCUCAACGGAUUUCGACGGAGCCCUAUUUAAAGUGAAUGCGGUAGUCUCUAUAGCAUAACCCCAAAAAGAUAGCGGUAGAUCGGUAAGAGACAACAUAGAUCGUACCAUAUCCAAUAGGGUGCGAUUACGACGUUCGGACACACCAUUACGCUAUGGUGUUCCAGGCGGCGUGAGUUGUGAAACUAUUCCACAUUUCCUUAAGUGCGUGCCAAAUUCGUGACUCAAAUAUUCUCCCCCGUGAUCUGAUCGUAAGAACUUGAUUUUCCUGUCACGUUGAUUCUCAACCUCACUUUGAAAUUCCUUGAACUUUUCAAAGGCCUCAGACUUGUGUUUCAUUAAGUAUACAUACCCAUAUCUGCUUAAGUUAUCAGUGAGGGUGAGGACAUAACGAUAGCCACCGCGAGCCUCAACGCUCAUUGGACCGCACACAUCAGUAUGUAUGAUUUCCAAUAAGGUUGUUGCUUGCUCCAUUGUUCCGGAGAAUGGAGUCUUGGUCAUUUUACCCAUGAGGCAUGGUUCGCACGUGUCAAAUGAUUCAUAAUCAAGAGACUCCAAAAGUCCAUCUGCAUGGAGUUUCUUCAUGCGUUUGACACCAAUGUGACCAAGGCGGCAGUGCCACAAGUAUGUGGGACUAUCAUUAUCAACCUUACAUCUUUUGGCAUUCACACUAUGAAUGUGUGUAACAUCACGUUCGAGAUCAAAUAAGAAUAAACCAUUGACCAUCGGGGCAUGACCAUAAAACAUGUCUCUCAUAUAAAUAUAACAACCAUUAUUCUCAGAUUUAAAUGAGUAGCCAUCUCGCAUUAAACGAGAUCCAAAUACAAUGUUCAUGCUCAAAGCUGGUACUAAAUAACAAUUAUUGAGGUUUAAAACUAAUCCCGUAGGAAAAUGCAGAGGUAGCGUGCCGACGGUGAUCACAUCGACCUUGGAACCAUUCCCGACGUGCAUCAUCACCUCGUCCUUCGCCAGUCUCUGUUUAUUCCGCAGUUCUUGUUUUGAGUUACAAAUAUGAGAAACUGCACUGGUAUCAAAUACCCAGGAGCUACUACGAGCGCUGGUAAGGUACACAUCAAUAACAUGUAUAUCACAUAUACCUUUGGUAUUGCCGGCCUUCUUUUCCGCUAAGUACUUGGGGCAAUUCCGCUUCCAGUGACCGUUUCCCUUGCAAUAAAAGCACUCAGUCUCAGGCUUGGGUCCAUUCUUUGACUUCUUCCCGGCAGCUUGCUUACCGGGCGCGGCAACUCCCUUGCCGUCCUUCUUGAAGUUCUUUUUACCCUUGCCUUUCUUGAACUUAGUGGUUUUAUUCACCAUCAACACUUGAUGUUCCUUUUUGAUUUCCACCUUCGCUGAUUUCAGCAUUGAAUAUACCUCGGGAAUGGUCUUUUCCAUCCCCUGCAUAUUGAAGUUCAUCACAAAGCUCUUGUAGCUAGGUGGCAGCGACUGAAGGAUUCUAUCAACGACUGCAUCAUCCGGGAGAUUAACUCCUAGCUGAGACAAGCGGUUAUGCAACCCAGACAUUUUGAGUAUGUGCUCGCUGACAGAACUGUUCUCCUCCAUCUUACAACUGUAGAACUUGUCGGAGACUUCAUAUCUCUCGACCCGGGCAUGAGCUUGGAAAACCAUUUUCAGCUCUUGGAACAUCUCAUAUGCUCCGUGUUGCUCAAAACGUUUUUGGAGCCCCGGUUCUAAGCUGUAAAGCAUGCCGCACUGAACCAAGGAGUAAUCAUCACUACGUGUCUGCCAAGCGUUCAUAACAUCUUGUUCUGCAGGGAAAACAGGUUCUUCACCUAGCGGUGCAUCAAGGACAUAUGCUUUCCUGGCAGCUAUGAGGAUAAUCCUCGGGUUACGGACCCAGUCCGUGUAGUUGCUGCCAUCGUCUUUCAGCUUGGUUUUCUCUAGGAACGCGUUGAAGUUGAGGGCAAUAUUAGCGUGGGCCAUUUGAUCUACAAGACAUAUUGCAAAGAUUUUAGACUAAGUUCAUGAUAACUAAGUUCAUCUAAUCAAAUUAUUUAAUGAACUCCCACUCAGAUAGACAUCCCUCUAGUCAUCUAAGUGAUACAUGAUCCGAUUCAACUAGGCCGUGUCCGAUCAUCACGUGAGACGGACUAGUCAUCAUCGGUGAACAUCUUCAUGUUGAUCGUAUCUUCUAUACGACUCAUGUUCGACCUUUCGGUCUUCCGUGUUCCAAGGCCAUGUCUGUACAUGCUAGGCUCGUCAAGUCAACCUAAGUGUAUUGCGUGUGUAAAUCUGGCUUACACCCGUUGUAUGCGAAUGUUAGAGCUUAUCACACCCGAUCAUCACGUGGUGCUUCAGAACAACAGACCUUAGCAACGGUGAACAGUUAGGGGGAACACUUUCUUAAAAUUAUUGUGAGGGAUCAUAUUAUUUACUACCGUCGUUCUAAGCAAAUAAGAAGCAAAAACAUGAUAAAUUUCACAUGCAAUCAAAUAGUGACAUGAUAUGGCCAAUAUCAUUUGCUAUCUCUAUCUUUGGGGCGCCAUGAUCAUCAUCGUCACCGGCAUGACACCAUGAUCUCCAUCAUCAUGAUCUCCAUCAUCGUGUCUUCAUGAAGUUAUCUCGUCAUCUAUUACUUCUACUACUAUGGCUAAUGGUUUAGCAAUAAAGUAAAGUAAUUACAUGACGUUUAUGUUGACACGCAGGUCACAAAUAAAUUAAGACAACUCCUAUGGCUCCUGCUGGUUGUCAUACUCAUCGACAUGCAAGUCGUGAUUCCUAUUACAAGAACAUGAUCAAUCUCAUACAUCACAUAUAUCAUUCAUCACAUCCUUUUGGCCAUAUCACAUCACAUGGCACAUGCUGCAAAAACAAGUUAGACGUCCUCUAAUUGUUUGUUGCAAGUUUUUUUAUGUGACUGCUAUAGGUUUCUAGCAAGAACGUUUCUUACCUACGCCAAAACCACAACGUGAUAUGCCAAUUUCUAUUUACCCUUCAUAAGGACCCUUUUCAUCGAAUCCGAUCCGACUAAAGUAGGAGAGAAAGACACCCGCUAGCCACCUUAUGCAACUAGUGCAUGUCAGUCGGUGGAACCAGUCUCACGUAAGCGUACGUGUAAGGUCGGUCCGGGCCGCUUCAUCCCACGAUGCCGCCGAAUCAAGAUAAGACUAGUAACGGCAAGUAAAUUGACAAAAUCAACGCCCACAACAACUUGUGUUCUACUCGUGUAUAGAAACUACGCAUAGACCUAGCUCAUGAUGCCACUGUUGGGGAACGUAGCAGAAUUUUAAAAUUUUCUACACAUCACCAAGAUCAAUCUAUGGAGUCAUCUAGCAACGAGAGAGAGGGGAGUGCAUCUACAUACCCUUGUAGAUCGCGAGCAGAAGCGUUCAAGAGAACGGGGUUGAUGGAGUCGUACUCGUCGUGAUCCAAAUCACCGAUGACCUAGCGCCGAACGGACGACACCUCCACGUUCAACACACGUACGGUUGGGAAGACGUCUCCUCCUUCUUGAUCCAGCAAGGGGAAGGAGAGGUUGAUGGAGAUCCAGCAGCACGACGGCGUGGUGGUGGAAGCAAUGGUGAUCUCGGCAGGGCUUCGCCAAGCUCCAACGAGAGAGAGAGAGUGAGAGAGAGAGAGAGGUGUUACGUGGGGAGAGGGAGACGCCAGAGACUUGGUGCGGCUGCCCUCCCUCCCCCAUUAUAUAUAGGGCCCCUAGGGGGGGCGCCGGCCCUAGAUAUUGGAUCUCAAGGGGGGGGGCGGCCAAGGGGGGAGGGGGUUGCUUGCCCCCCAAGCCAAGUGGGGCGCCCCCACCCCUAGGGUUUCCAACCCUAGGCGCAGGGGGAGGCCCAAGGGGGGUGCACCAGCCCAAUAGGGGCUGGUUCCCUUCCCCACUUCAGCCCAUGGGGCCCUCCGAGGUAGGUGGCCCCACCCGGUGGAUCCCCGGGACCCUUCCGGUGGUCCCGGUACAAUACCGAUUACCCCCGAAACCUUCCCGAUGGCCGAAACUUGACUUCCUAUAUAUAAAUAUUCACCUCCGGACCAUUCCGGAACUCCUCGUGAUGUCCAGGAUCUCAUCCGGGACUCCGAACAACUUUUGGGUUACCGCAUACUAGUAUCUCUACAACCCUAGCGUCACUGAACCUUAAGUGUGUAGACCCUACGGGUUCAGGAGACAUGCAGACAUGACCGAGACGACUCUCCGGUCAAUAACCAACAGCGGGAUCUGGAUACCCAUGUUGGCUCCCACAUGUUCCACGAUGAACUCAUCGGAUGAACCACGAUGUCGAGGAUUCAAUCAAUCCCGUAUAUAAUUCCCUUUGUCAAUCGGUACGUUACUUGCCCGAGAUUCGAUCAUCGGUAUCCCAAUACCUCGUUCAAUCUCGUUACCGGCAAGUCACAUUACUCGUAUCGUAAUGCAUGAUCCCGUGACCAAACACUUGGUCACAUUGAGCUCAUUAUGAUGAUGCAUUACCGAGUGGGCCUAGAGAUACCUCUCCGUCAUAUGGAGUGACAAAUUCUAGUCUCGAUCCGUGUCAACCCAACAGAUACUUUCGGGGAUACCUGUAGUAUACCUUUAUAGUCAUCCAGUUACGUUGUGACGUUUGGUACACCCAAAGCACUCCUACGACAUCCGGGAGUUACACGAUCUCAUGGUCUAAGGAAAUGAUACUUGACACUGGAAAAGCUCUAGCAAACGAACUACACGAUCUUGUUCUAUGCUUAGGAUUGGGUCUUGUCCAUCACAUCAUUCUCCUAAUGAUGUGAUCCCAUUAUCAAUGACAUCCAACGUCCAUAGUCAGGAAACCGUGACUAUCUAUUGAUCAACGAGCUAGUUAACUAGAGGCUUACUAGGGACAUGUUAUGGUCUAUGUAUUCACACAUGCAUUAUGAUUUCCGGAUAACACAAUUAUAGCAUGAACAAUAGACAAUUAUCAUGAACAAGGAAAUAAUAAUAAUCAUUUUAUUAUUGCCUCUAGGGCAUAUUUCCACACGCCUGCCCCCCUAGGCCGUGCCCCCUACCUCGUGGGCCUCCUGUUGCCUCUCCGACUCCAACUCCAACUCCAUAUAUUGUGUUUCGGGGAGAAAAAAUCAGAGAGAAGAAAUCAUCGCGUUUUACGAUACAGAGCCGCCGCCAAGCCCUAAAACCUCUCGGGAGGGCUGGUCUAGAGUCCAUUCGGGGCUCUGGAAAGGGGAAUCCGUCGCCAUCAUCAUCAUCAACCAUCCUCCAUCACCAAUUUCAUGAUGCUCACAGCCGUGCGUGAGUAAUUCCAUCGUAGGCUUGCUGGACGGUGAUGGGUUGGAUGGGAUCUAUCAUGUAAUCGAGUUAGUUUUGUUAGGGUUUGAUCCCUAGUAUCCACUAUGUUCUGAGAUUAAUGUUGCUAUGACUUUGCUAUGCUUAAUGCUUGUCACUAGGGCCUGAGUGCCAUGAUUUCAGAUCUGAACCUAUUAUGUUUUCAUCAAUAUAUGAGUGUUCUUGAUCCUAUCUUGCAAGUCUAUAGUCACCUAUUAUGUGUUAUGAUCCGUUAACCCCGAAGUGACAAUAAUCGGGAUACUUACCGGUGAUGACCGUAGUUUGAGGAGUUCAUGUAUUCACUAUGUGUUAAUGCUUUGUUCCGGUUCUCUAUUAAAAGGAGGCCUUAAUAUCCCUUAGUUUCUAUAAGUGCAUCUAGUGCCACCCCUAGUUGGUUUUGGAGUAUUGACGACAAACCUGGUUGAGGGACUAAUGUGUUUGUGAGAAUUGCAGGAUAACACAGGUAGAAGUCCCUCAUUGAUUCGGUUUUCCUACCAGAGAUGACCCCUAAAAAUGUAUGAAGACAUUAAAGUCAAAGGUGGUAUGUGAAGACAUUCACAUUGAAGUCUAUGACAAGAGAAGACAUCGCAUGAAGACUAUGGAGCGCGAAGACUUAGUUGUUUCGUCGUUCUUUUUCUUCUUUGUUGAGUCAUAGGAACCACCGUACUGUUAAGUGGGGUCCAAGAGAACCAGUCAGAAUAACUGAAGUGAUGCUUAACCAAAAGCCUAUGUCUUCGAGUGAAGACUACGAGAGCAAAUCUUGUCCAGAGUUGGAUAAGUCAGCUUUGCUUGUAGCCUAAGUAAAGUUGCCGUGUGUGUUUGAAAUCUGACCGUUGGAACAUGUGUCAGUUCCUUAGUGACCGAGGGUCAUUUCGGACAAAUCAGGUCGGGUUGCCUAGUGGCUAUAAAUAGCCCACCCCCUAUAACCAUAAAUGGUUGGCUGCUCAGAGUUAGUGCACGGCUUUUGUCGUUUGAGAGCAACCCACCUCGAAGCCUUUGAGAGAGAAUUCCUUGCGAGGAUAAAGCCCUAACCACCCAGAGCCAAAGAGAGUUAGGCAUCACUGAAGUCUUCCUGUCUGUGUGAUCUGAAGACUUAUUACACUUGAGGACUGUGAAUCCUCCAGCCGGUUAGGCGUCGCGUUCUGAGCAUCCAAGAGUCAUUGUGGAUCGCCAGUGAACGAAGUCUGUGAAGGUUUGGAAGUCUACCUUGAAGACUUACCAGAGUGAUUGGGCAAGGACUGGGUGUCCUUAGCUCAAGGGGAAUAAGGUGAAGACGCGGUCUUCUGAGUUGAAUCUCAGCCUCCCUAACCAGACGUACAGUUGUCACAACAACUGGAACUAGUCCAACAAAUCAUUGUCUUCAACGAGUCACUGGUUUCAUCCUUCCCACUCCUUUCCUUACUGUUGGCCCUGGUGAAGUCAUUGCCUGAUUGCAUUAUCUUUUGUCUUCAUUGAGUGACUGCUUGUUCUGAUUGGUUUCACAAUAUCUUCCUACCUGAUCUUUACCGCCUAGCUGCUAUUAGUCAUUGUGCUUUCACUUCAUUGAAUACUUGACUAUGGUUUGCCUAGUGUAGUCUACCUUCCGCUGCAUGGUAAUAGGUUUAUUUCUAUCGUUUGUCUUCGAAACUUCCAUGUUUUUAAGACUUUCAUAAAAAUCGCCUAUUCACCCCCCCUCUAGUCGAUCAUUAGCACUUUCAAUUGGUAUCAGAGCAAGGUACUCCCUUAUUCUAUGUGAUUCGGUUUAACCACCUGGAGUUUUAGCUAUGUCGACUGCAGGGAUAAUCAAAGUCUCCGCUGCGUGCCCAGUCUUCGAUGGAACUGAAUAUCCCUACUGGAAGAAUAAGAUGCGCAUGCAUCUUGAAGCCAUUGAUGUCGACCUAUGGUAUGUCAUUAAGAAUGGCGUUCCCAAGGCUGGUGAAGGUGUCACCGCUGCUGAUGUCAAGAAGUUCGUUCAACUGGACUCCACUACCAAGAACAUCAUCUGUGGUCAUCUAACCAAAGGACAAUAUGGCCGUGUGAGUGCUUUGGAAACAUCUAAGCUAGUCUGGGACUGGCUCUCCAAGGUCAACGAAGGCGUCUCAACCCAGAGAGAUCAGAGAAUCAGUGUCCUUCGCAACCUCUUCAACCGCUUCAAGAGAAAUGACAAUGAGAAUGUUCAGCUCAUGUUUGAUCGACUCACUGACAUCACAAAUGAGCUUCAAUCCCUCGACGCCACUGAGAUCACCAAGCAUGAAGUCGUCAAGACACUCCUGAGAUCACUUGACAGCUCGUUUGACACCCUAGCCCUGAUGAUUCAAGAACGUCCUGACUUCAAAACACUCGAUCCGCCUGACAUACUUGAGAGGCUCAACACACACGAGUUUCAGCUUUCUGAGAAAAGAGACAUCUACGGUCCCAACUAUGGGCGAACUCGUGCCUUGAAGGCAAAAGCUGUCUCCCCAUAUGAAGAAGAGUCUGACAACAGUUUUGAUGAUCCUGAAGACAUUGGAAAGGAGCUUGCUAUGCUUGUGAAGAAGUUCCAAAAAUUCACCAAGAAGAAAGGCUUCAGAAAGUCCUCACGAUCAAGCUCAAGGAAUGAUGAAGCUUCUGCUCAUGACUACACGAAGAGAACAUGCCACAAGUGCAAGAAACCUGGCCACUACAUCUCUGAGUGUCCAUAGUGGGACAAUGAGAACAAGAAGAAAAAGAAGAGCAAGGAGUAUGAUUCUGACGACAAGAAGUAGAAAUACUCAAAGUCUUCUUCCAAGUCCUCCUCAAAGUCUUCAUCACACAAGAAGAGAUCAUCUGGCAAGGCAUGUGCGUUUGUUGGCAAGGAAAAGGAUUCAGAGGAGGAGUCUGCUUCUGAGGAGGCGGAGGUGGAGUCUGAGGAGGAGUCCGAUUCUGGCGUUGCGAGUCUGGCUACAGCAUACGUUGCCAAGUCCAUCUUCAACUGAAGACAAUGACUCCGUCACUGAUACCGAUGCAAAUGACAAGGACUACUCCGCUCCUACCUACUGCUUCAUGGCACGCGGUGCCAAGGUAAACACACGCACUACUCACUAUCAAACUUCCAGUGAAGAUGACUCUGAUUGUGGUUCCAAACCCAGCUACAAAACACUUGCUAAAAUUGCAACUGAACAACAGAAAGCUAUGGAACAUAUUCAAAAACUGUUGGACAAAAGCGAUGACCUAUUAGACGCUGAAAUGACUCGAUCUCAGUCCUUAAUUGAAGACAUAAAAAAUCUUCACGUUAAGUAUGAGGAACUUGAAAGUCGUCAUGAAACGCUCUCAACAACUCAUGAAAAACUUUCCUAUGAUUAUCUUCAAAGGAAGCAAGAUCUUGAGAAAUUGAGAGCGGCUCAUGAAGAUCUUCAAAAGGAAAACGAGUCACUUCGCGUCAAACAGAUCAGUUCCGCCCAGGAAGGAUUUGAACCACCAUGUCUUAAAUGUAUUGAGCAUGACAACGCUACUUGUGUUGCUGGUUGUUCUACCGCUGCUACUAUUGCAAUAUCUUCAACUGUUGAUGUGCCAACUAACCCCUCUGCCGAGGAUGCCACUGCUAUUGCUGAUGAGAAUGCUAGGUUGAAUACAUUGCUUGAAACAGGGAUGUUCAAAAGCCUCAAAGGGCAUCAGACACUAUGUGAUGUCCUCAAAAGGCAGAUCCUGAACCGAAACCCUAGGAAAGAGGGUGUUAGGUUCGAAAGGAAAAUGAAUGCUGAUGGCUCUUACUGGAAACCUGAGCAGUACCCCGAAACCACAUGGGUUGCUGCAAAGGGACCGUCAGUGGAUCCAUCCACCCUAUCUGGCUUCACUUGUGCUAAUCCCAUUGUUAUUGAUGAAUCCUUUGAUGCAAACUAUAAACUGUUUAAGAAUUAGAAGGGUGAAGUGUUUGCCAUGUAUAUUGGUACUAACUGCAGGAAUGGACCGCCUAUGAAGAAGGUCUGGGUGCCGAAAAGGUGUUUGGAGAAUCUUCCUGUGAAUGUCGUCAUGACAUCGCAAGUGAAGAAGACAAACCCCAGACCACAGGCUUCAUACGGUCCAAAGGCUUCAUAUAGACAGAGGACUCACCUGAGUUGCACUAAUGCAAAUGUUUUGCAGGGAAGCCAUACUCAGGCGUAUGAAUAUGAGCGCGUUUCAUCAAACCGCCAUGUUCAUAAGACCAAGAACUAUUCUGCUUAUUCUUAUGAGUACUAUUGUCCACCUGCAAGAUUUUUUGCUAGGGCUCCAAAGCCAAAGUUCUCAGAUGCUGCACUUAGACUCAUUGCUUAAAAGCCACCCUUGAAGAUGUGGGUGGCUAAGAAAGCUUAACUCUCUUUUGCAGGGAAAGGUCUCCAGCCGAAAACCAAAAAUCGUCUGAAGCUAUUGCUAGGGACCUUAAACAUCUUGUAGGGCGCAAGAUCAAAUGCCCAAAUGGUCUUAUUAUGUAUUUUGUUCCUGAGUCGCUUGCUACUUGCCCUAUCAGUCCUAACCUCGAUCUAAGCUUUCAUAAUCCACUUGCUCGUCAAAUGUUUUUGCUUCACAACUCUCUUCGUGAAGCCUAUCCCCCUAACUGCACUAUAGGGUACGACACCAGCUGCUUCAGAAUGGAUUAUUAAUAGUGGGUGUACUAAUCACAUGACUGGCAAGCGAAGCCUUCUUAUGGACUCAACCUUACGUCCCUCUGACAAAAGUCACAUCACAUUUGCUGACACUGGUAAAAGUAAGGUGUUGGGUCUAGGUAGAGUUGCAAUCUCAAAGGAUCAACACAUGGAUAAAGUCAUGCUUGUUGAAUCCCUUGGUUUCAACUUAAUGUCUGUCUCAAUGCUUUGCGAUUUAAACAUGAUUGUGAUGUUUGGAAAAUAUCGUUGCCUUGUUCUAAUGGAAUCUGACAAGUCUCUAGUGUUUGAAGGGUAUCGGAAAGAUGAUUUGUACGUUGUAGAUUUCUCAGCAGGACCACAACUUGCCGUAUGUCUUCUAGCAAAAGCUUUAGAAUGCUGGCUCUGGCAUCGGAGGCUAGGACAUGCUGGCAUGAGGAACUUGCACACUCUUGCAAGAAAGAAGCAUGUCAUAGGCAUCGAGGGCGUCAAGUUCAAGAAGGAUCACUUAUGCGGUGCCUGUGAAGUAGGAAAGAUGACGAGGGCCAAGCAUCCCUCAAAGACAAUCAUGACAACAACUCAACCCUUCAAACUACUCCACAUGGACCUUUUCGGUCCCACUCAUUACUCAACUCUCACUACUACUGCUUGUCUCUAUGGCUUUGUCAUUGUUGUUGAUUAUUCAAGAUAUACUUGGGUGCAUAUAAUCCUCUACAAGACUGAAGUGCAAGAUGUCUUCAGACGCUUCGCCAAUCGAGCCAUGAACAACUAUGGCAUCAAGAUAAAACACAUCAGAAGUGACAAUGGCACUGAAUUCAAGAACACUGGGCUAGAUACAUAUCUUGAUACUUUGGGCAUCACACAUGAAUUCUCAGCUCCUUACACGCCACAGCAGAAUGGCGUCGUCGAACGCAAGAACAGAACACUUAUUGAGAUGGCUCGGACGAUGCUUGAUGAAUACAAGACUCCAAGAAAAUUCUGGCCUGAAGCCAUUGAUACUGCAUGCCAUAUCAUCAACCGUGUUUAUCUUCACAAGCUUCUGAACAAGACAUCCUAUGAGCUCCUUACUGGCAAGAAGCCAAAUGUCAGUUACUUCAGAGUAUUUGGUGCCAGGUGCUGGAUCAAGGAUCCACAUCACACUUCAAAAUCUGCACCAAAAGCACAUGAAGGUUUUAUGCUUGGAUAUGGAAAGGAUUCACACUCCUACAGAGUCUUCAACCUCUUUCACUAUAAAGUGGUUGAAACUGUGGAUGUGCGGUUCGAUGAGACUAACGGCUCGCAAAGAGAGCACCUGCCAAAUGUGCUAGAUGAAGUUCCAUCCAGUGAAUCAAUCAAACUUAUGGGAACUGGAGAAAUCAUACCAUCUGAAGCUUAGCCUGAAGAGGAACUUAUCAUCUCCGCACCUGAUCAACCUGAAGACAAUGCUCAGCCUGAAGACAAUCCUUCUAACAAUGACAAUGAUCAACAAGAGAAAAAUCUUCGUCCUGUACAUCCUCGUGUUGCAAAUGAAGUACAGAUUGAGAGAAUAAUUGAUAGCAUCAAUGCACCAGGUCCACUCACUCGUUCAAGGGCAACACAGCUAGCUAAUUUCUGUGGGCACUUCGCAUUCGUAUCAAUAUCUGAACCCAAGAAAGUUGAUGAAGCCUUCAUGGAGCCUGAAUGGAUUCAAGCUAUGCAAGAAGAGCUUCAGCAAUUUGAGCUGAAUAAUGUAUGGGAACUGGUUAAGCAUCCUGAUCCUCACAAGCAAAAUAUAAUAGGCACCAAAUGGAUAUAUCGCAACAAGCAAGAUGAGCAUGGUCAAGUUGUCAAAAACAAAGCUCGUCUCGUUGCUCAAGGAUACACUCAAGUUGAAGGGAUUGACUUCGAUGAAACAUUUGCUCCUGUGGCUAGACUUGAAGCCAUAUGCAUACUACUGGCCUAUGCAAAUCAUCAUAACAUUCUUCUGCAUCAAAUGGAUGUGAAGAGUGCUUUUCUCAAUGGCAAGAUUGACGAAGAAGUGUAUGUUGCACAACCGCCUGUCUUUGAAGAUCCAAAACAUCCUGAUAUGGUGUACAAGCUCAACAAGGCACUGUAUGGCCUCAAACAAGCCCCUAGGGCUUGGUAUGACACACUCAAAGACUUCCUGAAGAGCAAAGGCUUCAAACCUGGUUCCCUCGACCCCACUCUCUUCAUGAAGACAUAUGAUGGUGAACUGUUUGUGUGCCAAAUAUAUGUGGAUGACAUUAUCUUCGGCUGCACCAAUCAGAAAUACACUGAUGAGUUUGGAUAUAUGAUGCAAGAGCAAUAUCAGAUGUCCAUGAUGGGAGAGCUUAAGUUCUUCCUUGGUCUUCAAAUAUGUCAGCAACGCAACAACAUCUUUAUAUCUCAAGAGAAAUACCUCAAAGAUUGCCUGAAGAAAUUUGGAAUGCAAGAUUGCAAAGGCUACACGAUGCCAAUGCCAGCCAAACAUCAUCUGGGCCCCGACGACAAUGGUAAAGAGUUCGAUCAAAAGGUAUAUCGCUCCAUGAUUGGUUCCUUGCUUUAUUUAUAUGCAUCUAGGCCAGAUAUCAUGCUUAGUGUUUGCAUGUGUUCCCGGUUCCAAGCGGCGCCAAAGGAAUCGCAUCACUUAGCUGUGAAGCAAAUUCUCAGAUAUUUGGCUCACACCCCAACACUAGGAUUAUGAUAUCCAAAGGGCUCUGAGUUUGAUCUAGUUGGAUUCUCGGAUGCUGAUUAUGCUGGUGACAAGGUGGAUCGCAAGUCUACAUUAGGCACAUGUCAUUUUCUGGGACGAUCACUUGUAUGUUGGUCUUCAAAGAAGCAGAACUGUGUAUCUCUCUCCACUGCUGAAUCUGAAUACAUUGCUGCUGGAUCUUGCUGCGCUCAGCUUCUAUGGAUGAAGCAAACACUCAAAGACUAUGGCAUUCACCUGAAGCAAGUGCCACUCUACUGCGACAACGAAAGCGUCAUCAAGAUUGCCAACAACCCAGUUCAGCACUCGAAGACAAAGCACAUUGAAAUUUGUCAUCACUUUCUCAGAGAUCAUGUUGUGAGGGAAGAUAUUGAUAUCAUACACGUCAACACUAAAUAGCAAUUGACAGAUAUCUUCACCAAGCCCUUGGAUGAGAAGAGGUUUUGCAAGUUACGGUGUGAGCUAAAUAUCUUGGAAUCCUCAAAUGUCCUGUGAUCAGGCACACACCCUAACACUUAUGCAUGUUGAUGACUUAGAUGUGCAACACACGAAGUAAAGUAUAUCUUCAAUAAAUGAAGACUUACAUUUUGAGUGUGAAUACAUUAACGUGGAAUUUGACUUCGGAGCGCCACGAUAAUUGUGUGUCGUGUCUGGGUCUAAUACUUCCUAUACGGUGGGUAACACCACCACCAAAUUCUUCUGUUGAAGUGUUUUACCCAUGGCGUUACAUUUGCUAUGUCUUCACAUUUGGUUUGUCUUCAUUUUCAACUUGUCUUAAUGAUUAUCUUCACUAUGUUGAUAUGAUUGUCUUCUGGUAUAUACUGAUUUGGUUUGGUUUUUGUCCUCUACAGCAUUCACUUAUAGCUAUGGCUUCUUCAUGAAUCUUUUGAACUAAGUGAAUGUGAUCGAACCCUAACCCCUCUAUGCUUCUUUCCUAAGUCUAUCUAUCCAAAUCAUACGCAUUCUAUUGACACUGUUAAAUGUCUUCUCUGCAUCCAUGUCAGCAGAAGACACAGAGACAAACAUUAAUCCGUUUUCAAUGAUAAAUCCUUUCACCUGAAACCCGGAGAAGUGGGAACGACCACCCGACAAUCCAGGCGUGCGUGGGAUCGUGGAACAACCUCCGAUGGGUUGCAUGAUAGCCACGUGUCCUUCAGAUGUGAAUCGCCAGGGGCACUUGUGUAAUAACUCUGUGCCGUCCCUAUCCCUAUAAAUACACGCCUCACCACAGUCAUUGUCCCUUCUUCCACUCCCGCACAAACCCUAGCGCCACCGCUAGCCCUCGACGACGCUGAUGACAAAGCGCUUAGCUACCACGACCUCACCGACACCGUCUUCAUGCCGGCCGCGGACAUCGUCUUCUCCGCCGUCGCCGUAGGUGUCCUCCGUCGCCAAGUUAGGGCAUGGAUGAUCGAACUGCUCGGCCUCCUCUCCCACUCCGUCUAGCAGUUCUUCGUGUGGUAAAUAAAACUUCCUUUUUACGGCCCCUUUGAUCCUAUAGAUUCAUCACUUUCUACCACAAGAAGUUUCUAUUCACACAAGUUGGAUCUAUUUCAUACUGCAUCUCAUAAUAUGCCUAGUAUGUUCACUUAUGCUUCACCAAGAAGUUAGAUUCCUCACUUGUACUUAUUCGUGGAUUCGUACAAAUCUGGAACCAACUCUCUAUCUAUGAGUGAAUGUCUUCGCACUAUGAGGUCAAUGUCUUCUAAACUGAUUUAUCUUCAAAAUCUUCUGAGAAUGCGUAUGACCUCUUCCCCUUCCCUCGCACCUUAAUGCUGUCACAGGUACAUGUCCGUGGGAGAAUCCCUUGGUUCUCAUAGUCUGCAUUCAUUUGCAGAAUUCUUACAGCAUCACAUUAACUCUCCCGAAGCCAGUUCCUGUUUGACCAGAAAGCGGAAGCCUUUGAAGCCUUUAAACGUGUUGAAGCCCUUCAGUUUAAGCUUCAUGGCACCAGAGAAACCUACAAGAAAGGGCGGCAGACAGCGCCGUGGGGGUACAUCAACGGACCCGCCCGAAGAUCUUUAUGAACUGUACAAAACUGACCCCAAGAAAGCUAUGGUCAGCGCAAGACAUGAAUCCAAUGGAUUCGAAGAUACUGGGCAGAGCAAUGGUUCAAGUACAGGUUUGUGACCCAGGAAUAUGCUGAGAAGAAUGCCAUCAAGCGACCGUGGGGAGACAUCCUAUACAAAAAUCUUCAACCCAAGUCCAGAGCUGAAGCCAUUGAACAAGGCUUAUAUCCUUGCAUGGUCCAUGGACCGCAGCCUGCGGAUGCAGACCCAUCUUCAUUACUGUGGUGCCGCGAUGAUAAUAUGUUCAAGCGCAACCUUCAGUUUGCCAGGAACUCGGCCAAAGAGAACAAGAAGUCACGAGGCUUAGACUUCAAUCCAGGCCCCUUUGCUCCUCGUGCUGAUGACACAUGCGAAGCUGAACCCAAUCUUGUUGGGCCCUUCUAAAACCUGGAAGGUCUCAUCACUGAUAUCAUGGUUCAAGGGACAGCCGUGGAUGAGCCUGCAGACGACGCUGAAUCUGAUGAAGCGCCUGCACCGCCGAAGCCAAAGAAACUGAAGAAGCCUAAAGCUUCAAAGCCUGCUCCUGCACCAAAGGUCUUACAGGUGAAGCCUCUGGCCACUGCACCUCCUGAACACAGUGUGCAGUCUGAAGAUUUGUCACACAUCUCCAAGCCCUCGAGAGUGAAGAUGCCCUUGCAACCCACCAGCCAAUAACUGACUGCUGCUCCUAUUCUGUGCAAUGACGCCAUUGAUCUGUCCAGCGAUGAAGAUCUUGCAGAUGACGCUCUUGAGCAAGUGAUUAAGAGCAAAGAAGAAGCAGAAAUCUUCAAUGAUUUGCCUCUCUUUGACGUGGCAAUCCUCCACAACUUCAUUGAUGAGUGGUUUGAAACCCCCAAUCUCAGCUUUGAUGAUUUGCAACUUCCAAUUGGCCUCAGUGUCGCUUUCACUGGCGCCAUUGCUUCUGAGCUAGCUCUAGCUCAGCGCAUCGUUGAACUGAAGCAAAAGGUCGACUAUGAGAAAGCUCAGUUCAAGAAGCACAUGGCAAAGCUCAGCGUGCAAGAUGUGAAAAACUUCAAGAUUAUGCUGCACGAGCUCAAGGAAGCCUUUCUCAAGAAACAUGAAGAAGCUAAAGGGUCUCGUGAGCGCAUGAAGAUUCUGGCUGACAAGUGCGUGCAAGCCUACAAUGAAGCUGAGAAGCGCAAGGCUCUUGGGUGUCCUGGCAUCGACCCUAGAAUGGCGGCGAAGCCGAAGAAGAAGAAGCCAGCUGUGGCCGAACCCGAAGCAACAAGGCAGGAAGUACAUCCCAUUGUCUUCCCUGCCAAUAUGACAGGCUCGAAGCCUAAGGUCCCCACAGUGGCUUCAGAACUAAAGAAGACAAGGGCUGCCGAGGCUGAAGCCAGAAAGAGGAAAAAUCCUGAAGCUUCUGAUGCCGAUCCCUCCAAGAAGAAGCGCAAAACCAAGAAAGAUCGGGCUGCUCCCACAGAGCCCCUUGUUGUCGAGCCCAUCUCGGUUGCUCGUCCUGCCUCUUCGCAUCAAGAACGAAGGAUGAUAGUUCAUGAGCCUGCUUCCACAGAGGCUCCUGAAGCUGAAGACAUCCCAACAGUUGACCCCACCGCUGCCGAAGACAUUGGUCACCAUGACAAUUUUGAAGAUGAUGAAGUCCUUCCUCAAAUCGAGCACCAAUUGGUAUCAUCGCCUGUGCUCACGCACAACAAACUCAUCAGCAUUGGUUGUCCUCUGAUGCCAACUGCUCAGGAUGCAUCGUGGGCUGAUCACCCACAGAGACAAGACACUCCAAGCUCUCCCCAACCGCAAGCUACCCCACAAGUGCAAGAUGAUGAUGACUUUGAGGCCCCGCACGCUCCAUCUCCACAAGCAUCGCCCGCAUUACGCAGGCUUCGCAAAGGACCCAGGCCCCAAGUCACUCCCACAAUGCACGUGUCUGAAUCCGAAGCCAAAAUGGCUGAAGAUGUUCCGGCUGCAUCAGCCGAUGAAGAAGAAGAUGAAGAAGAAGCCUCAAGAGUUACUAGAGUUGCUACACCCCCGUCUCACCAAGAUGUUGUUCUCAAGGAGAACGUGACCGACCCUCCGGCUUCUCAAGUGGAGGUUCACAACCCUGAGGCGGCCACCAACAUCACUGCUGACGCCAAUGGCGUUGUCAUGGUUGAAGCCAAUACGGCGCCAGAAGCCAAUGAGGCACCAGAAGUCAAUGCUGCAGCACCUGAGGUCCAAGCACCUGAAGCACAUGUGGCCCCUGAAGCCCAUGAAGACAAUGCCAAUGCCCCUGUUCCCCCUCCAAGACCUCACACAAUGGAGCUGUCAUUUGAUCAUGGUCAGCUGGUUAUGGUUCGAUGGCCCAUUCUGACUCCUCCACGUGCUGUUGGUCCACAAUUUGAGUACCACGUCGAGCACAGGCCUCAAGUUCAAAAGCCCAAGCCAAGACUUCCACGAUUCCCAGGCACUGCCACUUCACCUGGGGUCUUCAAUGCAAAUGGCUUCGUGGCACAUAAUACCUUCUUCAACAGCUCCAAGAACCCCUAUACAAGACCGCACAUUUUCUCAGAUCGGUUCUGGAGCUAUCAGCAGCGCAGCUACUAUUCCUGUGUCCUAUACAAUCAAGGGCGCAUAUUUCCACAUAUGCGCCUCGACUCUGAAGCUAUAGCUGGUUUGCCCUGCCUCGAAGAAGCAUUGGACUGUUUCAGGGACGCUGGUCUGUUGCAGUUCGUCACUGACAAGGAGCACUGGAACGAAGAAUUGCUGCUUCAAUUCUAUGCCACUGUUCAUAUUCGAGGCUACAACAGGGAUCCAAAGACUUGGGUCCUUGAGUGGAUGACAGGCAAUGUCCAUCAUGAAGCUAAAGCUCUUGAUAUCAUUGAGCUCACAGGCCUGCCCACUCCUGGUGAAUACUAUGAACCAUGUUGUCAACAACAUCAAAAUGCCUUGGAAAGCAUCUUUCAGAAGCCAGAACCCAACAUGAGUCAAAUGCUAAGCAUGAUGAAGCCUCUGCCUCAUGACGCUGAAUACCCAUCUGAGUUCUUUGUUGAAGACCUAGAGUACCUGCCUCGCACCAUUUACCACAUCAUCAGGAAGACUCUAUGGCCCGUCAAAGGACACUCAUCUGCAGUGAAGCUUGAAGGAGCAAUGAAGACUUUGGUUUUCUAUAUCUUCAAUGGCAUCAGCUUCAAUGCUCAAGACUUCUUCAUCAGGCAGUUGGCUGCGUCUGGCUCUAACAUCUUUGGGUUGAAAUUCUAUGCUCCAUGGGUCAUGCGUUUGAUAAAGCGUCACUCAGCUUUCAACUAUCAGCCGUCUGCGCGCAAUCAUCUUAUAUUCUUGCCCAAGGUUGAUCUAUCAGUUGAAGCCAUUUACCCAGAGCCUGCUAAGGAUCCCAUUUAUCUUCACAAUGCUGAUCACCAAAGCUUCACCCAGCCCAUUGAAGGGAUUCCAGCAGUUUCUCGUGUUUAUCCCCUUGCUGGAAACACACGUGUCCCUCGUGCUCAAACUGACGUCACUGGUAGCACCAUUGCGCAAAGGCCUCAAAGACGAUCUCGUGUCCUCAAUGACCGAGAGCUUCUCGUUGCGCUGCAUCAGAAACAUGACAAACAUCACGACUGGCUUAAGCGCCAGAUGCAAAGCCUCUUGGUGGAUGUCAACCGCAUUCUCAAUCUUGCCACCAAGAAUGCCUUUGUCACUCAUGAAACCUGUCAGAGGUCGUGGAAGAGUUUGACCCUACUUAGUGCUGAAGCUAAUCUACGAGCGCAUUAACUGGAUAGGAGUGUUUCAAUCGUGGCAAGAAUCAUGAUGAUCACAAUGUGCUAAGAAUCGGAUUGGAGAAUAGCACAAAGAUCGAGUCCAUACCCUAGUUCGGCGGAGACUCACUACGGCAACAACGGCGGGGUAGAAUUCCUUUGACGACGAUGGAGACCAGCGACUGGAGGCGGCUGGCGGCGAGGAGACGAUCUGGAGACCAAGUUGGCAGAGCAGGCUAUCGCGCGGGCGAAGGGGUUCGGAGAAAUUUCCAAAUUUUUGCCCGUGACUAUAUAUAGCCUGACCCUGUCGGUGUGACCGAGUGGAUCAGCUCGGUGGCACCGAGAUGCAAAACUGUAUACAGUUGUUGCAACUCGGUGUGAUCGAAAGGUUCAAAUCGGUUGCACCGAGAUCGAAAACCUAGAUCAACUUAAUGAUCUCGGUAGGACCGAAAGUGGGGUAUCGGUCAGACCGAGAAUCAUAAAGAGGUUUUGGAAGUUUAAGUCUAUGACGAAUCGGGGACUCCGAGCGCUCCUCACACAGAGUGGUUCGAAUCUGACUUGAUCAAAUUUUGUGAUGUAGCAUGAAUAGAGUUUGAGACGAGAAAAGCAUAGAUAGCUAGAGGAGGUUCUUAGGCAUUCUUGUCCAUCCACUUGGCAAAAGGAAAUAAAACCGAACAAUCAAAACAACAAGUGGAUGUCCU
rnacentral:lncRNA from 1 species